UGACUUUAUCUUAGGUAACACGGGUGGGCAGGAGAACACUUUGCAAAAUGCGCUUUGACAGUGAGCGAGAUCUCUGAAAUUCAAUCCGAACAAUACUGAGUUUUUCUAUCGGUUGAAAAGUCGAUCAUUUUGCCAUGUUUUUAAUAAUGUUUUUUGGUAGCCAUCGUUGGUUUUUAAGUUCAUCUGUUAGUUGGAUCAAAUGUGCUUUCCUUUAGUAAACUUAAGGGACUAAAAAUGCUCAAGGUCAUAUUUACAAGACCAAAAUUGACCUACUUUCUAUAAAUAAAGGACAAUUUUGGCUAAAAACUUCAGCAAUUAACGCUAAACAAAUUCAAUAGUAUAACACCUAAUAACGUUUGAAUGUUAAUUUCCCGCCACUCCUUUUUCUUACAUAUGGAUUCUCAUUCAAUAUUGUUUAAUACUAAGAUUUUGAGUUUAAAGAAAAUAAAUAAUUGUUUUUGUAGAAAAAGCAUAUUUUUUAGUAGAUGUGUUGUAAAUUUUAAUUAAUCGAAUAAGUAAAUUUCAAACAAUUGUUAACUUGAAAAAAAAAUUAAUGCAAUUGAAAUUACAAUAGCCUCACAUUCUUAUACCCAAUUGAACUUAUAUUAGUUCCUUCGUCUCAUAUUAAUUAUCAAUAUUAUUUCAAGAUAUUUUUUUUGUUCAUUUUUACAUGUUCAUUAUAUUAAAAAUAAAAUUUUAUUUUUACUUAUUUAAUUUAAUAAAUCAAAAGAUGAUAUAUCAAUUAAUUCUUAAUUUAUCCUUAUUAUUAACCAUAUCUAUUCAAUAUAUUUUCUAUAAUAUUGAAUUUAUUAUAUUUAAAAGGUGAUGUGUAAACUAUCAUUCUAUUUAUUGCUAUUUAAGGUGUGUUUAAGUCAAUAUCCGACAAAUAUAAAAGAAAGACGGGAGAACUAGUAAAAAAAAUAUAUAACAUAUGACGGAGAAAAUAAUAUUUUUAAUUUACGAAGGUAUAAUAGAAAUUAUGACAAUUAAUAUAUGAUGAAGAGCAUAACAAUUUUCUUAUUUAUGAAUGUUUGAAACAAAUUAUGACAAGUAAUAUAUAACGCGAACACAAUAUCUUUUUUAUUUAUAAAGGUAUGAAAUGAAUUGCGAUAACUAAUAUAGGACGGAGAGAGUAACAUUUUUUUUUUUGAGAGACCAUAUGAUAAAUAAAUAAAUAGGUGAGAAUAUAAGUGUCCGAACAUGUCCUCCCUGUCCGAAUUUAUAGUAUUUCCAUUCUCACACAGAUUUGCCUCUUUGUUUAUCGUCUCUCUUCUCCACAAGCUUUUCCCUUUUCUCUCUCGCAUGUGAUAAAGCUGCUUCAUUCUGCUGCCGCUUCCCUUUUCACAUUUUCCCUUUUCUGCAGAUCUAAUUUCAAAGCUAAUCGAAACCGUGUAAGAAUUUCCGCCUUUUCUCUUCCAUUUCUUUUUAAUGCAUUGUUUUUUAUUUUCUUUAUCACCCAUCUCGUUGAUUUGUUGCCCUGUACUUUGUUUUUGUCUAUGUGUGUUAAAUUGAGAAAUGGGUUUUGAAUUUCUUUGAUUUUUGAAUUCUGGGUUUGUGUUUUUUCUUGAAUCUUUGUUGUAUAUAAUUUCUGUUUAUCAGAAUUCCAUCUUUGUAUCAUAAAGUUUUGUGGGGUUUGUUCAUUUUUUAUUUUUAUUUUUUCAGAGGGAAUUGAUCUGGGAUAAGCUUGUUUGGUGUUUGCGGAAUCUACAGAGUCUCAGCAAGGGGUUUCAUGUUCCGUUAUAGCUAAGUUUUGUUGAAGUAAUUCGGUUUUGGUGGAAUUUGAAUAUCCCAUGAUUUUAAAUGCAGAGGAAAAGCAACUUGGAUUGUGAUUUUAUGGUUUUCCUGCUAUAAAGUUCUUGCUUUGACCGGGAAAAGUAUCAUUACUUGUUGAUUCUUGGGUUUCUGUUGAUAAGGUUCUUGAAUUUGGAGUAUAUAUAUGUGUGGGAUGUUGGGUUUGUUCCUGUGCUGUUAAACAUUUGAAGAUCAUUAAUUUGAAGGGUUGGGGUUUUUUCUGUUUGGAUUUGGAGGGUUUGUAUGGAUAAGGAUAAGUUUUCUUCAAGCCAUGUAGGAGGUUCGUUGCCUCCAUCAGGGAGAUACUCAUUAUUUUCACCUCCUGGUAGUAGUUCCAAUGUAAAGUCAGAACAACCUGGAUUAGCAAAUUUACCUCCCUUAGGACCUGGAAAUGCUUCAGAAUCAGGUCAUUUUGGUCAUGGUGUGUCGGCAGAUUCAAGCCUGUUUAGUCUUGAUAUAAGCCGAAUGUCUGAUAACCCACCGAGAAAAUUUGGUCAUCGACGUGCCCACUCAGAAAUUCUUACUCUUCCUGAUGAUAUUAGCUUUGAUAGUGAUCUUGGUGUUGUUGGACUAGAUGGACCGUCUCUGUCAGACGAGACUGAGGAGGACAUCUUAUCAAUGUACCUUGACAUGGAUAAGUUCAAUUCUUCAACUCUGUCUUCUGAAUUCCAAGUGGGUGAGUCUUCUUCAGCAGCUCCAGGUUCAUCACAAACACCAGCAAUGGCUUCAGGAACAAAUAAAUUUCCUCCUACUGUUAGUGAGAAGCCAAGAGUUAGACAUCAGCAUAGCCAGUCCAUGGAUGGUUCAACUACAAUCAAGCCAGAGAUGCUCAUGUCAGGAGUGGAAGAUCCAUCUUCAGCUGAAACUAAGAAAGCCACGUCUGCUGCAAAGCUUGCUGAACUUGCUCUUAUUGAUCCUAAACGUGCCAAGCGGUAAGGCUUUCUACGGAAAUGUUGUUGCCCAUUUACUAUAGCAGUCUCUUUCACAUUAUUUUAGCUUGGCCUUGCUAUUGCAUUUUUCUAUACUAGUACUGCUUAGGAUGAAACCGUUACAUGGAGGUCUGGUGGCAGACUAGAGUGGCCCAAACUAUGAGCCCCCUAAAUGUGUUCUGGAUGUUUAAAACGGUCUUAGAUAUUAUGCUACAUUGUUGUUUUAUGAAAGCCUGCUCUGUUUUGAUGAUAAUCAUUCAUUCUACUGGUGGUUAGGCAUUUUAUCUGUGUUUUUCCUAGCUCCUAGCUCCUUGAACCUUUUGGUUUUUGUUUAAUGAAGCAGUUCUGUGAUUGAACACCUAAUGGUCUGCCUGCGGCUUCUUCUGUCAUCUUUUCCUGUUCAAAGGCUGCCUCUGGCUUCUUCUGUAAUCUUUUCCUGUUCAAAGGCUGAUAAGACUGAAAUUAUGAGAGUUACAGGAAGGAAAAUUAAAAAGAAUAGACUGACCAGGCCCUUCUGUCCCUCUACUCUAUCUGUCCCAACAAGUUGUUCCUGCUCCCCCGAGCAUUUCAUUUCUAUUUCUUGUCCUCUCCAGCUCUUCCUUGAGCCUAAAUCUGAACAAGCUCAGCUCCCCAAAAGUUGGAGUUCAUUUAUGGCGUGUUCAAAUCCACCUCUCAAUAACAAAUUCCUGCUUUCUUGGCUCCUCUAAAUUAGCUAAAGUUGACCUCUGUUGUUAGCGAUGGGGGCCCACUACCCCUCCCUUGCCUUUUAGACAAUUUAAAUUUAUCCUCAAGAGAGAGGGGGAAGGGUCAGGGAACAUAUGAGAUUGAACACCCAAGGAUAUGACCUAGUGGUCAAUGAUGUGGGUGCAAACUUUGGAGACCGGUCCUAACAGAGACAAAAAGACACUAGGUGAUUUCUUGGCAUUUGCUCAAGCCUUGUUGGCUGAGUACCCAGUACGGUGGAAGGUAGCUAGUAGCCGGUGAAAUAGUCGAGGUCCCGGCAUGCUUGCCCGAGCUCCACCUUUAUGGAAAAAAAUAUAUGAGAUCAAAACUAUGGCCCCUCCGAGGAGUGUGAAGCAGACAAUUGUACUGGAGUGCUAAUGACGAGAGGUAAAUCAAUGGUGGUGCAUAUAGGGAGACUGUGAUUGUCCUUACAGGAUUAGAGCCUAAUAUAAUUCAAAUGGCAGUAGAAAUUUUUCUUUAAAAGGUUACUGGCUCGCACAAAUUACAGAAAAGUUAUGGGAUGGCUCAGUGUCUUAAGCUUGAUUUGUUGUCCUAGUCAAACUGUUCUUUUCCGAGUCCCAUGCUUUUUUGCUCAGCGACUUAGUAGUAGGCUAGUAGCUUCAUUAUGCUUUUGUUUUGGGGGGAAGCUUAAACGUUGGUUCAUUGCAGAUCUUUCUCCUGGUAUUAAAUUAAGGCUCCUUUUUUCUUUUGCUUUCUCGUGUCCUUAUUUCUAAGCAAAAAUAUUAAAUGGACUUAAGGGAACUAUAUUACAAUGUAAAGUGUGAAAAUUUAUUAAUAGGAGCUGAGUAGCAAUAAUGUUGUUUGUUUCGGACAUCUAAGUUUAGCGACUAUACUUGUAAAUUAAAAACGGUUUUAUAGAGUAUUAUCAAGAUGAGUAAAAUAAAGACUUUAGAAUGCUAAUAUGCAUGUUAACUAAAAACGGUUUUAUAGAGUAUAAUCAAUAUGAGUAAAAUAAAGAUUCCAUACUGCUAACAUGCAUUAAAUCAAGUAUCGAAUACAAAAUUGUUUACCAACUCCAUGAAUGGUAAGACAAAUUAUAAGAACAAUGAACAUGUCUAAUCACUAUUACAAAUAGAAAAUUAUUUUGAAAUCCUCGACCAAUCUAUAAGAAAAUACACUUAAUUUCUUCUGCUCAAAAAGUAAAUUAUAGAAAUUAGAAACUAGUACCAUAUGAGAAUGGAGAAGUAUAAAAAGAUUAUAUACAUGAAGAAUGUAUAUUCCCAAGCUAGUGGUUCAUUCGCUAAAUCUAUCACAGAGGAAAAGGUGGAUGGUUUGUAAACACAGUCCUUUUACCUUUUGGCUAUGCUAUUACUUCAAGUGGUGCCGAGGUUUGCUGUCUCCAGUCUGAAACCAUUUCUCUGUGUAUCCAUGAAGCCUCUUUUAUCUUGUCUUUUGCUCUCUUUUUGAUCAGACAAAUCAUUAAGUUUGAUAAAUACAGUUUUUUUUUUAAAUAGGUAACUUUGUAUUCACACAAAAGAACUCAUCAAAAUCGAUGAGGUGGGAUUUACAGACCCCCAGGGGGUGCCAUCAUACUCAAAUCCAAAAAGACUUUUUUUUGAAAUAGGUAACUUUGUAUUCACACAAAAGACCUCAUCAAAAUCGAUGAGGUGGGAUUUACAGACCCCCAGGGGGUGCCAUCAUACUCAAAUCCAAAAAGACAAAAACUAACUUUACAAUUGGCUUUUAAACUCCACAAGGCUAUCUACUAAAUACAAAAGACUAAGACAUCUCAUCUUGAUCUCCUCUGGGCUGCUAACCUUUCCUUCAAAACAUCUCCCAUUCCUUUCCUUCCAUAGUGUCCACCAUAUGCAAGCAGGGAUAUUUUUCCACCAGUCUUCUUUUGAUCCUCUCUUUCCGAUUCCUUGCCAGUGUGUUAGGACCUCAAAAGUGGUUCUGGGCAUUGUCCAGUUAACCCCAAGUAUACAAACGAACAUGUUCCACAGAUCUGUAGCUAUCUUGCAAUGCAAAAACAAAUGACCAUUUACUUCAGCCUUCUGUCCGCACAUGUAGCACUUUGAACAGAUCUGUAUACCUCUUCUUUGUAGCACUUCAUGGGUGAGACAAGCUCUUCUAAUUACCAACCAAGUGAAACAUGCAACUUUUAAAGGAACCUUAAUUUUCCAGAUUAAUUUCCAAGGCCAAACUGUUGUCAGGAGAUGAUUGGUAUUCCUCUCCCAAUAGCAUGAUUUAACUGUAAAAACCCCUCUGCUAUGCAGUCUCCAAACUGGUUUGUCCGGCUCUGUGACAGUGCCUGGAAACAAGUUUAAAGCAUGCAGUAGGUCUGCUACUCUUCCAACCUCCCAAUCAUUUAGAGCCCUUCUGAACAUAAGGUCCCAACCUUGAGGGGUCCACAUUUGCGCUAUAGUGUCAUUCUGCUGUAGACUGAUAAUGUACAGAUCGGGAAAAAGUAUCCUCAGAUUUACGUCACCUAACCAGGUCUCGUUCCAGAAACUGGUCUUCAAACCAUUCCCCACUCUGAAGGUCACCUUUGCACUGAAAUCAGGCCACAUUCUCCUGAUGGUUUUCCAUACAGAGCACCCAAAAGUGCCAUUCACCUCUUCAGUUAUCCAGUUGCUUUGUAGGUCAUAUUUCUCUGCAAUAAACCUCCUCCAUAAUGCCAUAUCUUCACAACAGAAUCUCCACAACCAUUUUUGCAGCAGACUGGUGUUCUGAGUACUCAACUUCUUCAUGCCCAGACCUCCUUGUGCUUUGCUCAUUGUCACCUCUUCCCAUUUAACCAGGUUGUAUCCUUGCUUCUCUUUAUUUCCUUGCCAGAGGAAGACCCUUCUCAGCUUGUUGAGUUUCUUUCCAAUACUUUUUGGUAGUGGGAAAAGACUUAGCAUAUAAGUCGGAAGUGCAUCCAGAACUGAUUUUAUGAGAGUCAAUCUAUCUCCCAGGGAUAUAUAUCGACUCUUCCACCUUGUCAGCUUCCUUUCACUUCUCUCCAGAACUUCACUCCAUACUUCCAAUUUUUUGUUCUUGGCGCCCAAGGGCAUCCCCAGGUAUUUGGUGGGAAGAGAAGCUACUUGGCAGCCCAGGUUGUCGGCAAGGCCUUGCAUGUCAUUAAAACUCUUCUGCCAGUUCACAUGUAGUCCUGAUAUGCCUUCAAAAAUGGUUAGUAUUGCCCUCAAAUGUCUAAUUUGUGACACUUCGGCACCACAGAACACUAAAGAGUCGUCCGCAUAUAGAAGGUGUGUGACCUCCAUAUUAUUGGCUCUGUUUGUAUGUGCACCAAAACCUCUUAUCCACCCCAUUUCAUUAGCCUUUCUGACCAUGUAGUUGAGUCCCUCCAUUGCUAGGAGAAAUAAGAAAGGAGACAUGGGAUCUCCUUGUCUCAAUCCCCUUUGUGAUUGAAAAAAACCUUCAAGGCUCCCAUUUAUAAUGAUUGAGAACUUCACUGUUGACACGCAAAACUUGAUCCAAUUCACCCAUUUCCUCCCAAACCCCAUUUCACUCAGAACUUUCCAGAGGUAGUUCCAGUUGACAUGGUCAUAUGCCUUCUCUAUAUCCAAUUUGCACAGGAUACCUGGUAUCUUUUGUUUUUCCCUGGAGUCCACCAACUCAUUAGCCAAUAAAGAGGCAUUCAUUAUCUGUCUGUCCUUCAAAAAAGCCAUUUGGUGCUCAUCAAUCAGUCUCCCCAUCACUGUUUUCAUUCUCUCGGUGAUUAGCUUAGCGAUGAUUUUGUACAUUCCACCAAUCAAACUUAUUGGCCUAAAAUCCUUGAGUUCCACAGCUCCGCGCUUCUUGGGGAUUAAUACCACAAUAGUGGCAUUCAAGGAUCUUUCAAACACUUCAUUCUGAUGGAAAUUGUGGAUUGUUUGCAUCACAUCACUCUUUAUGAUCCCCCAACACUCCUUGAAAAAAAGCAUAGUAAAACCAUCUGGACCAGGGGCUUUGUCUCCAUCGCACAAUUUGAUAAUGUGUACCACUUCCUCUUCUGAAAAUGAUCUCUGCAUCCAUUCCUGCUCCUCUUGGCUUAUUCUUGGGCAAUUUGUCAUCACAAAUGAUGGCCUCCAACUUUCUGAUUCAGUGUAUAGCUGCUUGUAGAACUCUGUUAUAUGAUCUUUGAUUUCUUUUGGAUCUUUAUUCUCCUCCCCAUUGAUAAUCAGCCUGUCGAUGGUGUUGCACCUCCUAUGAGCUGUUGCUACUCUUUGAAAGAACUUGGUAUUAUUAUCACCUUGUUUCAGCCAUAACACUCUGGACUUCUGUCUCCAUCUGGACUCUUCAUUCUUCGCUAAUUCUUCUAGCUCGACUAGAACUGUUGCUCUAAUCAUCAUCUCAUCCUCUGUCAGCACCCUAUCAUUCUGGAUCAGAUCCAUCUCAGCUAACUCACUUAACAAGCUGUUCUUCUUGUUGUUAAGUUCCCCGAAAGUUACCCUGCUCCACUCUUUAAGUUUCUGUUUUAGCAUCUUUAGCUUCAUACUGCAUUUGAAAUCUGGGCAUCCUUCCACAACAAAACCAUUCCACCAGUUCUGGACUAGAUCUUUGAAACCUUCUACAUUAAGCCACCAGUUCUCAAAUUUGAAGUAAGCCUUCCUCUGUUCCCAAUCACCACAUUGUAGCAUAACUGGGUUGUGAUCAGAUACAACUCUAGGCAUAAUUUGUUGCCUUAUGUUUCUGAAUUGUACAUCCCACUCAAUUGAAUAGAGAAACCUGUCCAGUCUCGCAGCACUGUAGUGGUAUUUGCAUAGGAUACCUGGUAUCUUUUGUUUUUUCCCUGGAGUCCACCAACUCAUUUGCCAAUAAAGAGGCAUCCAUUAUCUGUCUGUCCUUCAAAAAAGCCAUUUGGUGCUCAUCAAUCAGUCUCCCCAUCACUGUUUUCAUUCUCUCGGUGAUCAGCUUAGCGAUGAUUUUGUACAUUCCACCAAUCAAACUUAUUGGCCUAAAAUCCUUGAGUUCCGCAGCUCCGAGCUUCUUGGGGAUUAAUACCACAAAAGUGGCAUUCAAGGAUCUUUCAAACACUUCAUUCUGAUGGAAAUUGUGGAUUGUUUGCAUCGCAUCGCUCUUUAUGAUCCCCCAACACUCCUUGAAAAAAAGCAUAGUAAAACCAUCUGGACCAGGGGCUUUGUCUCCAUCGCACAAUUUGAGAAUGUGUACCACUUCCUCUUCUGAAAAUGGUCUCUGCAUCCAUUCCUGCUCCUCUUGGCUUAUUCUUGGGCAAUUUGUCAUCACAAAUGAUGGCCUCCAACUUUCUGAUUCAGUGUAUAGCUGCUUGUAGAACUCUGUUAUAUGAUCUUUGAUUUCUUUUGGAUCUUUAUUCUCCUCCCCAUUGAUAAUCAGCCUGUCGAUGGUGUUGCAUCUCCUAUGAGCUGUUGCUACUCUUUGAAAGAACUUGGUAUUAUUAUCACCUUGUUUCAACCACAACACUCUGGACUUCUGUCUCCACCUGGAUUCUUCAUUCUUCGCUAAUUCUUCUAACUCGACUAGAACUGUUGCUCUAAUCAUCAUCUCAUCCUCUGUCAGCACCCUAUCAUUCUGGAUCAGAUCCAUCUCAGCUAGCUCACUUAACAAGCUGUUCUUCUUAUUGUUAAGUUCCCCGAAAGUUACACUGCUCCAAUCUUUAAGUUUCUGUUUUAGCAUCUUUAGCUUCAUACUGAAUUUGAAAUCUGGGCAUCCGUCCACAAUAAAACCAUUCCACCAGUUCUGGACUAGAUCUUUGAAACCUUCUACAUUAAACCACCAGUUCUCAAAUUUGAAGUAUGUCUUUCUCUGUUCCCAAUCACCACAUUGUAGCAUAACUGGAUUGUGAUCAGAUAUAACUCUAGGCAUAAUUUGUUGCCUUAUGUUUCUGAAUUGUACUUCCCACUCAAUUGAAUAGAGAAACCUGUCCAGUCUCGCAGCACUGUCGUGGCCAGCCCCUCUGUACCAGGUAAAGGUCCCACCAUUUAGAUGAGGGUCAUGUAACUCCAUAUCCUCUAUCCAACUCGAGAAAUCAGCCAUUACAUUGGUUAUUCUUCUGCAUCCUCUCCUUUCUGCCAUUGUUCUGACAGUGUUGAAGUCCCCACAGGUGACCCAGGGGCCUCCACAUAGCUCCCUAACUGCUGCAAUUUCUUCCCAGCACUCCAGUUUCUCAGCUCUGGUGUGUGGAGCAUAUACGCCAGUAAGAAACCAACAAAAACCAUCGUGGACAGCUUCAAAUUUGUAAGUGAUUGAGUAUUUGCCUUCCUCCACACAACUACCCAUCCAUACUCUUGAGUCCCACAUAAUUAGUAUCCCCCCACUACUACCAUCAGCUUCAGAAUACCCACAUUUCAUCCAUCUUCUAGCAAAAAAAAUAAAAUUCUCAUUGCUAUCUAAGUCUUUGCACAGCUUUCUGAAAGUAUUCAUAGGGCAUUGAUGUAAGCUGUUUUGAGGUCUUUCGUGUUCCUUGAAUUUGUUUAAAUUUGUCUGAUGUAGUUGUUUAAAAGUUAAGCCAAUUAGUUAAUCAUCACUGUUUUUGCUUAUGCUGUGCAACAGGAUUUGGGCCAACAGGCAGUCAGCUGCAAGAUCAAAGGAAAGGAAAAUGAGAUAUAUAGCAGAGCUUGAGAGAAAAGUUCAGACUCUGCAAACGGAAGCAACUACUUUAUCUACUCAGUUGACCCUAUUGCAGGUGUAUAUCAGUUGCUCUCAUUACCCAGUUAUUGUUUGUGUUCUUUCCACUUUUUAUUUCUGUUAUUGGAAACAUGUUGAGUGUGGUUGAAGUGAUGGAAGUAGAUAAGUGCUUGGUCUAGAAUCUGCAGCAUCUGCUUGCACAUGGAAAAAUGUACAGAUAUAUGUAUCUUCAACCUUUUUCUCAUGUAUAACAUAACACUAUUGGUUUUGAUAUGCUUUUUUUUUCCACAUGAAACAGAGAGAUACAAAUGGCCUGAAUUCUGAAAACAGUGAACUUAAACUGCGUUUACAAACAAUGGAACAACAGGUGCACUUGCAAGAUGGUAAGAAUCUGAGCAUGACUUCUUUUAGUAAACUUUUUGCCCAUAACCACCUUCUCUUUUUAUCUGUCUGAAUAAUGGUUGCCGUUUCUCAAUGGGAGUGUCUUUAGUUCAAGUGUUCGACCAUUCAAGAUGAUUCAAAGUGGAUUCAUUGUCAACCGCAAGUUAAUAUCUGGCUGUAUUUAGGCUUCGUUGGUUUCAAGAAUUUCCUCAAUUUCAGAAGAAAGUAAAAUCAAUUUUGAUAUACUUCAUCAUUUUCAUAUUGGGUGUGGUAUUUGCGUUUUAGUGGUUAAAAAUCAAGUAAUUCUGCCAUAUUCUCAUCUUAUUGUGCAAAAACCGAGACAACAUGAAUUCCAGUUUGACCUUACAAUGUCAAACAUAGUUUGAAUUUGGAUCUGGUUGACGUAGAUAUAGGAAUAUUAUAUAUAGUCCAAAUAAUUUUGAAGUUAGUACUUCUUUUUUGAAUUGUAAUAGUUUGUUGUGGAGGUUAGAUAGUUGCAGAUUUCAGAUGUUAGAACUUCCAAAGCUUUUGUUUCUCAUAACAUUAUCCUGUGGUUAUAGAAGUGAACAUUGAGAAAUUCAUAUUGUUAGUGUCAUGAUUGGCGCCCAUGUCUUAGGUAAUAUUCUGUUUAAUCCGUAAAAGAUCUUGAUAAGUAUCUCAGUGUUGAGAAAUAUGAGGAAGUUAUCAAUAAGGUGGUUAGGAGACACCAAGAGGCUACUAAUCACCCUGUAGGCCCUUGACACCAUAGAAAUUUUCAAUGAUCAUAUUUCAACCAGAACCUUGUUUUUUUGCUCUCCGUGAACAAUUGUAUUUGGGCAGAUAAGAACUUCUACAGUCAGAUUCUGCUUGCAACUCUAUGUGGAUAAUGGAUUUAACACCUGACUAUUGAGUAUCAUAAGCCUAGGAAAAUACUUCCAUGAGAUUGCUAGAGUUGCAUAUGUAAAUUCCUUGGAUAGGAAUUCGUGAAUAAGUAAUUCAUCUCUACCAAUUAUUUGAAGUUUUUUUGUGUAGAGUUGCUAAUAGAUAUUUUGGUCUGUUUCUUCUUCAUAUGUAGCGUUGAAUGAUGCUUUAAAGGAGGAGAUACAGCAUCUGAAAGUGCUAACUGGGCAAGGCAUAGCAAAUGGUGGACCUAUGAUGAACUUCCCAGCAUCCUUUGGAGGCAAUCGGCAGUUCUACUCUAACAACCAGGCAAUGCAUACAUUGUUGGCUGCACAACAACUUCAACAGCUCCAGCUACAUUCUCAUAAGCAACAACACCAGUUUCAGCAACAUCAGCUCCACCAGUUUCAGCAGCAACAGCUGCAGCACCAACAACAGCAACAACAACCUCUUAUGCAGCAGGAUCAACUGUCACAAGCUGGAGAUGUCAUGUCAAGAGGUUCGCUGUCAUCUCCUCAAAAUGACAACGCUUCUGAUGUUAGUUCUGUAGCAAAGGAUUGAAAAGCUGAUGGCCAGAGAGACGAGAGUUGGUGCAUGUUUUAAAAAUCAUCAUGUGUUUUCCCAUCUAGCUCACUUUUGUGUUUCAAAAUCAUCAUGUGUUAAAACAACAUCUAGCUCAGGUUCUUGGUUUCAGUUAGCUCCUUCAUCUGCAUUUUAGUACUCUGUAGGGUCAUUUGACUUUUAGUUGAAAUUGUUCAAAUCCCAUUCUAUGCAUGUCAUUUUGUCAACUAUCAACAUGAUUUGCUUCAUGUUACCAAUAUUGUUGGUGGUAGUUUUUUUGGACAUCAAUCACUUACAUCUCUCUCACACUGUUCACAUAUUACGAAUAUGUUUGAGGCAAUGUCUCUAACCCUGGGUGAUUGUGGAGGGUAAAAUUCUCAUGGUGCUCCUCAAUAGGUAGGACCCUUCCAGUGGUGGAUCCAGAGCGUAAACUAAGGGGUUCAAGGAACUCCAUAACUUUUGCCUAGACCUGUAAAUGUAUUUGUUAAAUAUUUGAUCGUGAACUUAGUUAAUAUUGUAAUCCCCUAUCCCCGUACAUAAUACUGGUUGGUUCCAUCUUAUAACUGUCUCUUCUAAAUCUGUUAUCAUUUCAGAAAAAAAGUUAGAAGUGAUUUUCACUCUCGUCAUCAAGGCUACACUACUUUUUGGGAAUUUAUAUUUGAACACUAAUUAAAAAGUAAUUGACCGCUGGGUGAUCAAACUAUUGACGGCAACAUAUUUUUGGAUCAAAUUAUUAAUUGAGGGUAUUUUUGUUGAAUUUCAUGUAGUUUAGUGACCUUUUAUGAUCAAGAAUCAUAAAUAGCCUAGGCAACAUAACACCCAUUCAAAAGCAUAAAUACUAUGUAUGGGACGAUUGAGGUACAAAAUCAAAGCAUAAAUACUAUGUAUGGGACGAUUGGGGUACAAAAUCAAGAUUUCAAAAGUAUCUAGCUCGCAAUCAUUAUUGGCUAACUGGUCUGCAACUCCAUUUAGCUUCUCAAUAUCUAUAAUCUAAAGAUACCAGUAAUCAUCAAUUAAACCAAUCCCUCCUUUUUCCGAAUUGCCUUUGCAUUAAUGGAUUAGGUAAUUAGUAUUAAUGUUGUCAUUGUUCAUAAUAUUUGCUAUUAUUAGGUCCAACAUGAUUUCUCAUAGGUUUUUCUUGAUUAAUCUAAUUGUUGUAUGAUGUACUAAUCUUUUUCCCAUUUAAUAUCUUUUUUCGCAUAGCUUAUUUCUACUUUAAUUGAUAAAAGGACACUAAGAAGAUGAUUUUUUUUUUAAUUUUUCACUUUUAUAUUAAUUAAAGAGAUUUUAAAAGAAAAAUAACAAGAUAGUUCUUUAAAAAUUAAAUGAUUUCAAAAAGUAUUUAUUAGAAAAAAGAGAGUAUUUUAAUCCAAAAGUAAUGAUAUGAUAUUUUUCGGAACAAAGUAAUGAUAAGCACAUUUUUGGAUCAACUACUAUUAACCAAAAAAAGAAAAUAUCUUCUUUCGAUAAAUAAUAGUAGUCAUAUUUUUUCAUGUAAUUUAGCUAUUCUGAAAAAAGAGAAGUGUGCAUUUGCUUGCCGUCUCUGCUACUCAUUUGAUUCACGACCAAUCAGAGAAAAGAAAAAGGGAAAUAAUCUUGAAUUCUUUUCUCUGAAAAUUCAAAAAAAAAAAAAACUUUAUUUUCCUCUUUUUCUCUUCCAUUUUCACGAUCAUAAUUUCAAACAGAAACAAGACCUGAUCAAACUCGUUGGAGGUAUGUUUUUUUCUUUUCUUCAAUUUCAUCAGCUCAUACUUGUUCUAAAAUUAUUUAACUAUAGUAUGCAAGCUCUCUUAUUUCCUUUACCUAUGUAAUCUAUUUGCAUUUUUAAGAUUUGAACAAACUUUCACUUUUCAAGAAAUAAUCUUACAAUGGCUAUAGAUAUUGAUAUUGUACACAGACAUGUUUAAAGAAUAUGACCGCUAAAUAAUGUAAGACUUAUAUUUUCAAGGGAAAGUAUCUGUAAUAUCCUUAAAUCUCUGCCCCAACCGCCAGCUCUCUCAAUUGUGGUGCUUGUUGAAAUUUCACUAGUUCCACUCUGAGAAGUAUGUUACUGAAAAUGUAAAUUUGAUUCCUGUUGGAUGAAGUUUCAAAAAAAGUUCCUGUCUUUCUUGUAAGGAACAAAAAAAUUGACGACAUGAGGGAUUCAGUGUGAGGAACUCCCACUAAGUCGCCCAUCCUAGGAAAAACGAAUUCACCUCAGGUUCACAUGUUUCCAAAUGGCUUAGAUAUUUCAAGUUAAGUUGAGAUAGUAGUAGCUUACAGAUUAUGAUCAGAUAAGAUGAUACUAUCAGUAUUACGGUUUUGGAGUUUUGAUCACGUUAUUCCAUUUUUUUCAUGAUAUGAUUAUGCACUUGAUAAUGAUGUAUUAGGAAAGUUUAGGCUUGGUCCUAUAGUUUCCGUUAGUAAAGAGAAUUGAUUUCCACCACAAAAUCACUUCAGGGAAUGAAAUUGCGCUCAGAUAAGUGAGUCCAAAUCUGGUUACUUUAUUGGGUGCAUAUACAAGUAUUAAAUUUUAGCAGGGAAACUUUGAAGAGCACCUUUUGUAUUGAACUAGUUUUACAUGGAAAGAAACACCUUGUAACAGACUGCAAUUCUCCUAGACUGCACAUAGCAUGCAACUGAAAUAGUAACAAAUAUUGAAGGCAGGUGGCAGCCUUCAAUAUUCCCAGUGCAGCUUAAGUAUGUUAAAGAAUAUGUAGAAUGCAGUUUGACUGUGAAACCUCUUAGCGUCUUUUCUUAUCAAGAAUGUGAGUGAUAAAGAUUGGAUGACUUAAUGAAAGACUAAUCUAUAGAAAUUUUAACAGAUUUUAAAGCAUGACUGUUAUGGAAAUGAACCGGCAUUCAUGUAGUAGUAAAAACUAGAUAGAGCUAACUCAGAUCUAGUAUCCAUUAUGGUAAAGAAGUUAAAGGAGGACACUACUUGGUUCUGGAAAGAAAGAGUAAUUUCAUCAGAUGGACGUUGGCCUAUGAAUUUAAUGAGACUGUAGAUACUAUUAUGGUAUGUUACUAUAUUAGUUAAUCGACUUAAAUAAAAGAUACUAUUAUGGCUGGAAAAUAGCAUAGAAUCACUGACUGUCUCAUAACUUGAGACUUUGUGGCUAGAAAAUAUCAUGAUGAUGCAGCGGAACCCGUCAAGUAAGUGCGUGAGUGAAAUACGCACAUUGAUCAUCUAUUUUUGUACAGUUUUGGCAUGGCCUAUGGUUUUUACAUCUUUUGUUCCUAAUAGUAGCACUUAUCUCUUAAUAUUUUCACCCUUCUCGAAUUUUUUAUUGAGAAUUGGUAAGUUUAAGGGGACCUAAUCUACAGUAGCUUUACAUUCUAGCAAAUUUGAAAUAAUGUUUUUGGUAUAUCAGUUCUAAUUUAUUUUCAGAAACAACAUCUGGUAAUAAAAUCCUUUGAUCAUAAUCUAAGUUGUUGUCAUACAGAUUGUUUUCAUUGCAUAUGGCCAAUCUUGAUGGAGAUAACGAACCUGAAUGGAUAAAGAGGGUGAAAUCAGAAGGUGCAAUUCCCCUUCUGGACCCAGAUGAUUGCUCAAACGGUUGGGCUUCUCCACCGGGGAAUAGUUUCAUGGUAAGAGGUCCAGAAUACUUUUCAACAAAGGUUAAAGUUCCCGGUGGUGAAUUUCUUCUGAAACCUCUUGGUUUUGACUGGAUAAAAGGUCCUAAAAAAAUUUCUGAUAUUCUAAAUAAUCCAAAACACCGUAUCAGGAUUGCUCUUCAAGAUGAAACUCCAACUGGUUGCAAGCCCUUUAUUUGGGCUUUCAACUUGCAAGUUCCCAGUAAGGAAAAUUUCAGUGCUGUUGCAUAUUUUGUGGGCCUCGAACCUGUCCCUGAAGGGUCUUUGAUGGAGCAGUUCUUGAAAGGCGAUGAUGCAUUUAGAACUAAAAGGCUAAAAUUGAUUGCGAAUAUUGUUAAAGGACCUUGGAUUGUAAGAAAGGCAGUUGGGGAGCAAGCUAUAUGCGUAAUUGGCCGUGCACUGACUUGCAAGUACUGUAUAGCAGACGACUUCAUAGAGGUAGAUGUUGAUAUAGGAUCUUCGGUGAUAGCAAAUGCAAUUGUUCAUCUCGCAUAUAAUUAUUUAUCAACUCUUGCUGUUGAUUUAGCUUUCCUUAUCGAGAGUCAAACUCAAUCAGAACUUCCAGAACGGAUUUUAGGAGCGGUAAGAUUUUCAGAGCUGCAGACCACUUCAGCAACACUAGUUGAAAUGCCAUCCAAUGAGAACAUGGGAGAGUUGCUUCCUUCUUUCCCUUCAAGGUUAUGGAAGUCAUUUGGGCACAGUUUCUCCCACCUUGUUCAGGCAGAUACUCAAGAUGGUAGCUCCAGCUCCAUCCCCUCACUUGUAAAGGGGGAUGUUGAUAAUGGUCUCUCUGAAGAAGGUACCAAAAAAUGGUAAGUGAUCUUAGAAUUUAAGAGCACUUCAUCAAAUGCAUGACCUGAUGAAAGAAGCUGGAAUUUUCCAUCUGUUAGUUUUACUUUUUCCCUGUUUAAGUAUGACUGCAUUUUUUACUUUUUAUAAACACCUACCAUGGUAAAAUGAGUAUCUUUUACAUUGCUAAGCAUGACAACUACAAAAGUUUGGCUCAUCCUGGUUUUAUCCAAAAAUUGCAAAAGCCUGUUUCAUGGUUAAACUUCUAAGUUCUUCAUAAAAAAAGGGUUAAACUUCUGAGUUCAUGUUUUAUUUUACUUUAUACCCUAAAGGCGCGACCUCCAUAACCUCCUAUCUAAGGUCAUGUCCACGGGAAGCUGAAGCAAGACACAAUUUUCCAAGGGCAUGACCUUAGAUAGGAGGUUAUGGAGGUUGUGGAUUAGGGUAGAAGGUUAGUAGGUAGUUGAGCGUUGUCUCGUUUCCUAGCUGGAUAGGCUUGGUGGUAGGUUGGUGCAUUGGACCUGUUUCCCUAUUUAUAGUAGUAGCACUUUUCUCAUAGUUGCAUGUCUUGCGACUUUUGUUACUCCAUAUUAUUUAUUGUGCUUCAGUUAUCACAUUAGUUGGUUAAUGUUAUUGCUCCUCUUUUGAAUGUUAUGGUAUGUUCUCCCUAUUAUUUUCUAUAUCCUCUUUACUUCUGUAUUUUUCUUUUAACUGCUCUAAUGUUCAUUACUCGAGACGAGGGAAGAUGAUAUCCACUUUAUAUUGCUAAGCAUGGCAACUCGUAAAUAAAAGUUCGGAAAAACCUUCUUUGAUCCAAUAUGUUAGCACUAAAAUUAGUCUACUUAGGGGAUGAAGCUCUUUUUUUGGUGGUAUUGGCGGAAAAGGUUACUUCCUUCCCAGGGUUACUAAAAAUAAAGUAAAGAUGACGACUUUGAUUUAAUUCCAUAACAUCGAAAGCUCCCAGUUCAUCCUCUUCCUGAGAAUUUUCCUCCUGUUAAUUAAAGCAUCUUGAAUGGUUGUUAUGAUUGCUUUGAGCAACACUAUUACUUGUUUUAUCUUUUUUCUGAAUUUCCUCGGACUUCUUUCCACCCGUAACCAAUGCACUUUGAAAGUUUCCACUGUAAGUGUGGAUUCUUAAGUUCAUGUCAUCUAUAAAGCUUCAAACUCAUCGCAUUAUGGUUUUAAAAGAUCUUGUAGGGGUCCCUCUGGCCAGCUAUGCAUCCAGAGUAGAUUUUACAUACACUAUCAUUCUUCUCUCUUCUAUUUACCGGUCCACAGAAUGCAUUAAAUCAUUUGAGAUGCUUCCCUCAUACAUAGUGCCAAUGGUUGUAGCAACUGUCUCAUCUCAUGUUUGAAAUGACGCCUAACUCCCAAGUAGAUAAACAAUGAGUUUAAUAGCCAAGUAUAUCUACUUGGCAUUUCUACCUAUUUCAGUGUUGGAUAUCCUUCAUGUAUCAAGUCUCUCGUCCAGUAGUCUACUAUAAAAUCCACAGGAAACGUCAUAAUUUGCUAAAUCUUUCUCAGAAACAUUUAUAUUUACUCAUUGCUUAAACAAAAACAUGCAAGUCGUGUGCUGUUCUUGUUUUUCAAUCUCCAAUGAAAACACAUCGUCAAUAUCCAUGCAAUAUGUCCAUUGCUCUCUUCUUGUUCUUCAUUAGAUGGUUCUCUCUCUCUUUAUAUUCUUCAUUGGACGUUUCAGAGGAAAUGUUACUCAUGUUAUAUGCAUUAAAGAUACUUUUUUUUCUAAUUUUCUAAUAGCUUUAAUGAAUCUGUAUAUCUCCGUUUCCCCUCUGCAUUCUGAAAUUGAGUUUUCGUAGCCAUAGGUUGGACAUAUGCUUAUUGUAUAGUAAACUGAUACUUCUCUUAAUCAUUUGAACUUUGCAGAUCUCCACACUGUAAAUAUGAUGCAUUUCUGAAACGUUCAAUGGCUCCAAGCUUGGAGAAUUCUAAUAUUGGGGUCUCAUAUUGUUGCUUGUGAUGGCUACACUCACCGCUAUUUAUAGCUGUAGAAAUAUGUAUACAUUUCUGGGGGAGAUUUAGCGACAUGGAACUCCAGUAGCAUUCUUCACUAUUAAAUAGCCUCUGCCCAUCUUCUCAUUGCUUUCUGAAAAGAAAAAAAACACUCCCAGUUGCCCAUUCAUUUAUAUUCUUGAUAUUGAUUUUUAUUUAUUUAUAUCAAUUACUUGGUGAUAAUAGGUUACUAAUUUGAAGGGUGUUGAUUGAUUACACAUUAAAGGAAAUGUUUUCACACAGAUUGCAGGUAGGAUAUUUGUUGCAGAUGCUUUAAAUCUUGAUUAUGCAGUUAUUGCAUCUUAAUUUUUAGAUUUUUCUUCAAAUUUCAAGUAUUGAUUGUCUAUUGGAAACAACCUCUUUCCUCCAAGAUAGGGGUAAGGUUUGCGUAUACUAUUCUUCCUACACUCCAUUUAUUGGGUAUAUUGUUGUUAUUGUUCCAUAUUAAUUUGACUGGUAUUGUAUUGUGAUUUGCCAAAGAGAAGUUAUGCAUAUUUUUGCACAAACCUAUCCAACAUCAGCAAAUCCAUGAUCAAAUUUGAAUUUUUUCCAUCAAAAUAACUAAGAUAAAAGGGAGGGUUGAGGAUAUUUUCCUUAAAAAAAAAUAUUUUCUUGCUAAUUUCUUUGUGUUAGAUACGUAAGCAAAUACAUAUCAUCCUAAAAGCAUUCGGUAGAACUUGUUUCAUUUGCUUCCAUUAGGAAUGUUAUUAUCCUCAUUUUUAAGAAACUUGUUUUCCAAAAAUUUCAAUCAACAAAACAUGAGAAAAUUAAAAUAAAAAAUAAAAAAUCAUUUUAACUUGUCAGUUUUCACAUAUCAAGCAAAAGACAAUUCUUUUUUCCCCAUAUUUUACCAUUAACAUUAAUAAAUCAUUUCCAAAAUCUAAUACUAAACAUCAAUUAUUAGGGAUAAUGUAGUACAAUAGUCCUGACAUUUUCUUGAUGGAUAUGUCAAAUCUAAAUAUGACAAGUAGAAGUGAAAGGAGGGAGUAGAAAAUAUCUCCCUCCAUACCGAACACACCCGAUAAGAAAAAGAAAAAGAAAAAGAGAAGACUCUUGAAUACUCUCCCAUGAGGGCAAAGCUGAAAUCUACAUGAUUCAAAACACAGUUUCAACAACAUACCCAUUGUUAUCCCACAAAAUAGGGUCUAGAGACUAUGCAAAUCUUACCACUACCUAAGAGGUAGAGAGGUUUUCAAUAGACCCUCGGUUCAAGAAAAACCCAUCCAAAAUAGUAUAGAGAAAGAAAUAACGAAAAUGAAGACAAUCAUGUCAAAAUACUACAAACAACCUCACAAAUCAUCCUAAACAAUAGUCUUAACAAGAUAUAAUGAUAAUCAAAGUGAAAAAAUCAUAAAUAAUUACCAAACUCGAAGGACAAAGAACUACAAGAGUACGAGGGCUAUUGACACACAGUACAAAGCUUUUGUCUACGACACGAUUCCAACUUGUUCAAAUUUUGGUCAGAGGUUGCAAAACUAUGACCUUCCAAAGGAUCUAAGAAAAACAUUUCCACCUUGUUCUACUCAAUGAAGGUAAAGAAUGCUACCUGACACAAAACUAACCUAAAUAAUAUAGUUGAAUCCUUCAAAGAUUGCAAAUAUGAUCUUCCAAAAGAUUUAAGAAAAACAGUUCCAACUUGUUCACUCAAUGAAGGUACAAGGAUACCACCUGACCAAAAACUAGCUAACAUAAGGUCCUAUUAAGGUUCAAACAUUAACAUUUAUACUAACAACAAUUAACAAAGCUAGUAUAAGGAAAAUAUCUAAGAAAUAGUUCAAAAUACAAGAAGGCGAUCUCGCCCCAAACAAAAAUUUAUACAGUUAAACCAGUGCCUUCUUCUCUUUGAAGGCUAUCUUCGUACUUAACAGGACUCUUUUUCUUGACUAGAUAGUGAAUGUCCCCAUGUUUUCUUUGUUUCCUGUUUCUUUCAUUGGAGGGUAGCACAGUGGUACAUGGUAGAAGCACGGAGCAUGAGAGAGAGAUAAGGGACAGAGGGAGAUCAGUAACUAAGAUUGAAGCUUUGACAGUAUAAACAAAAUCCACGAAUCUACUCUGACAUAAAAUAAGCAUUAUAAUGGAACAGAAAUUGACAACAGUAAAUGUAAUUGUUCAGUAUGUAGCGUAAACAGCAGGACAGAAAUUCUGUUGAGAUUUGCAAAUAUCAUCCUGCUAAAUCAUUUAUAAUGCAUAGAUGGGACACAAAGGCUAAAGCACUUAAUCACAAAAAUUUAGUGUUAAGUGGAAUACAUCAUGGUUCAUCUAUAUUCUAUCAAAUGUAAUAACAACUUUGCGCACCACAAUUACAAAUGACAGUGGUUACCUAAAAAGUUGGUUCAAUUAACAAACAGGUGCUUCGAGAACCAAUGAACAUAUCAUCGGGUAAAUGAUGGUUUUGGAGGUAACUGUGCAUAAUCAACAACUCAUCCAGCAAAUACCAAUACUAGAAUUACGUUGUGAUCCCCAAGUAAGCAGUGAAAUCUUCCAAAAGCUAUACAAGAUCGGCACCAGCAUCUGGUAAUGUACUCAUCCGUAAACUUCUACCAGUUCCAGCUGCGAAAAAACGUACUGAAGGCAGAGAGGGAUCCGUGACAGGUUCAAUCUCAAGAAAGUUCAAAUCAAAUGUACCAGACUUUUUCAAACUGAAAACAAACACAAGCGCAGUCCAUCCCAGCAUUGUAACCGCCCAGUAAUUGUUCAUCCCAUGUAUCAGACCCCAACCAACAGCAUAACCAACAAUAAUUCCCGAUAAAUGUCCAAUAAAACUCGCUUGAGGAACAAUAAUGGAAGUGAAUAUGAGCGACUCAAAUGGCGCAAAGCUGAUGGGAAGUGAAAGAAAACCAAAAAGAUUCAACUUUGACGACGGUUGCUUGACCGAAAGAAUCGUCAUCCAACCAAACACCACACAAGAAUAUCCAACAGCAGUAACUCUCCGAAAAUACUCUAGCUUAAAUUUCUGAAUCAAGAUAUGGUACAUUCCAAUGACAAGUAUGCCCGAAAGAACAACCAACACCAGUGUAUAAUGAAGAUAAUACUGUACUCCAAGACCUAAAUGCCCCAAUUGCUCAACAACUCCAAGACUCCAAAGUGCACUCAUAUUGAAAACAAGAUGAAGCACACUAAUAUGUGAAAAUGCUGAUGUUAUUAUCCUCCAAUAAUGACCUUCCAAAGCAGUUUCAUAACUCAAACCAACAUGUGAAUAACCAAUAUUUGACUUCUGAAUAUAAAACCAAAUUGCACUACAUAUUCCAAUUGCACAACUAGUUGCUGGCUUCUCCAAUAUCUCAUAAAACAAUGGUUUCCCCAUGUGAAGAAACCUUUUACCCCCUCAGCCACUCACAAUUCCUUCUUCAACUUUACUGCUAAAAUGCUUACAAAGACACAACUUCCUCCCCUUUUUUUACCUUCUGGGAAUGCAAUUAAUCAAAUUCAAUACAGAACCUCAGAAAAAUUGAGUCUUGAAACAGAUAUAGAAAACCCCAAAUCAGAAAAUCAAGAAUCUUGCACUUCAGACUAAUUUAUUGAACGUCAAAUCACAUAAACACCCAAAUCAGCAAACCCAACUUCAGAAUUUCUUGAUUGCAAUGUUAUUCAGAUCCAAUAUAACUAAGAUUCAAGAAAUCUUUGCACAAAGAUCAAUCAAGCUAUCAAUUUUCAAUAAAUUUAGAAAAAUUGAUGGUAUCCCAAAUCUAAAAACAACAAGAUUGAAUGUAUGAAUACUUACAGAUUUCUUGAAGAAAUGUUGCUAGAAAAUCAAUGUAAUUAGAAAGAGGGGUUUCAGUUGUUUCGCUUGUGAAGAAGAGUCGAGGCUCCUCUGGAGUGACAUACGCAAAUGGAAAAAUUACAAUUGUGGUCCCUUGUCGGGACUAGUUUGUAUAAGAUAUAAUAAUCUCACGAUAAAAUGUAGAAUCUAUGUUUUGUUGAAGGUAUUUGACAUUUCUAUGAUUAUUUUUUCGCCAUUUACAUUGCAGUGUAUCUCAUAUACAUGGUAGAAUAAUUUAUUUCAAAAGAACUUAUUAUGGGAUAAAUUAAUCUAGUAGAAUAAUUUAUUACGGGAUAAAUUAAUCUCGCGAUAACGUGUUUCCAAUCGAACGAUCCCUAAUGUCCUGUUUAUUUUUAUUCUGACAUCCAUGAAUAUAUAUUUAAAUAUUAAGAUAUUUGAGUGAUAAAGUAUUAAAAUUAUUUAUUUACUUAAUAUGUGAAUAUAUAGUUAGUGUUUGGCCCCAAGUCUCAAAUAUUCUUGGCAAAUCAUAUUUAAGUGAAGUUUUUGGUGAAAUUUCACCAUGUAUUUGGCUUCAAUUUUUUCAAAAAUAUGAUUUAUACCAAUAAGUUCUAAAAAUUAUUUAAAAUACCCAUAAACUUAUAUUACAAUUUUAUAAUGAAUAUAUUUCGUUAAAAAAAUAACAUUAUAAUAUAAUUGGUAAGAAUCAACAAUAACAAAAUAACAAUAUAUGCAAGACAAUACAUUGAUCGCAUACUUCAACUUGUUCAAAUAUAAUUAUAACUCAUUAAACACAAAUUGUUCUUUCUUCUUAAUUUUACCACUCAAAUUAGAAGAACUUUUUCGGAGAAGGUAGUAACCAAUAUUAGUUGGAAUUAAUAAAUAACGUGUAUUUUUAUACGGAAAAGGACCUAAAAUACCCUCGAAGUAUUGGAAAUGGUACAAAACUACCCCUCAUCCACCUAUAGGCUCCAAAAUACCCUUGUCAUCCACUUAUUGGCUUCAAAAUAUCUAUGUCAUCCACCUUUGGGUCCAAAUUUAACCACUUUUUUAACGAAUAUUCAUUGAUUAUUUUAAUUAAUUAAUAAGUAUAAUUUAUAAACCCCCUCAUUACUAAUUAAACUCGUCCCAAUUAAUACACUCACCCCAAAUUAUAAUUACCCACCAAUUAAACAUAACCCUUUCACCAUUCAUUCCCAACACCUGUAUAGAAUCAUUGCUUAAUUACUCAAUUAUGUGUCUCUUCUCUGUAUAUUUUUAGCUAUAUUAGAUUUGACUUAUAUUUCUGUUCAUUUCCCUCAUCAAAGUAAGGUUGAUUAGGUUGUUAGAACAAAAAAUUAAGUCAAAUCUCUUGUCUUGUAUUUCAAACUCUUAAUCGAUCAUUUGUCACAAAAUUGCAGAAUCCAUCAACAUGUAAUGUUGUAAAACAAGAAAAAUUGUUGAUUGUCAUUUCCUACUUACAUUCAAUACUAAUUCAAAGUGCUACAUUUUCGAAAUUUGCACAGAUGGAAACAUUACUAUAACUCAAAUGUUACAAUGCAUUAUAAGAAGGCAAUUUCUUUAUGCAACAUUGACCUCAAUCAGUCCACAACAAGGAAAAUCAAUAAUUAACAGGUGUUGGGGACGAAGGGUGAAGAGUUUUGUUUAAUAGGUGGGCAAUUAUGAUUUGGGGCGAGUGUAUUAAUUGGGACGAGUUUAAUUAGUAAUUAGGGGGUUUAUAAAUUAUACUUAUUAAUCAGUUAAAAUAAUCAAUGGUUGAGCGCUACGUAUUUUAAAAAAUAAUUAAAUAAUUUAAAUGAAUAUUCGUUAAAAAAGUGGUCAAAUUUGGACCCAAAGGUAGAUGACAAGGGUAUUUUGGAGCCAAUAGGUGGAUGAGGGGUAAUUUUAUACCAUUUCCAAUACUUCGAGGGUAUUUUAGGCCAUUUUCCGCUUUUUAUAAAAAUAUAAAAAUUUGGGGUAAUUCUUGAAUUUUUUUGAAAUUUCCAAAUAUUAAAACUUGACCCAAAUACUAGUUUUUUCUAGUAUUUGAGAACUUGAGAUACUUAGCAAAUAUAUUUGCCAAGUUAUAUGACCAAACACCACUUUUCCCCCAAAUUUUCUCCAAGUAUUCUUGAGGCCAAACGGGUUCAUAAUAUUUACGAGCAUUACACUAUUAUUGCAAAAAAAAAAGUCAAAAUAUUUUUAUAAGUUUUCAAAAUUACAAUCACAAAAUACACACACUAUAUUUGUCCAAAGAGAGAGAUUCACCAUAUAUCAUAUAAUAAAAUAUCUCAUUUUUAGAUAGGAGAAAAUUCAUUAGCCUACCAAUCUUUUUUCUCUUUCCUUCUUUCCUUUGGUAAGAUUAUAUUUAUAAGAAUGGUAAUUAAAUCUUUAUGUAUCACUACUAGGAAAGUGGUUGUGUUGUCCUAAUAUGGUAAAUAAAUUAUUUGACAAUCUGUUCAACUUCAUUUCACAUUGCAAUAAUCUUAAAUUGAAAUAAUCCAACAAAAAAAAAAAACUAUAUAAAGCAAGAAAAGGGGAUAGGUAUUUAUACAAAAUAAACAUCUCAUCACAAAUUUGUUUUACACUUUUUUAUCAUGGCAAUGAGAAAGGCAUCCAUCACAUUGCUCUCCAUUGUUUUUAUGGUACUUAUCACAAUAGGUAUAUUUAUGCCUCUUUUAUUUCCUCAUUUAAAUUAAAAUCAUAAAACUUCAUAUACGUUAAUUAUUAUGAUUAAAGUCACAAUUGAAUGGUGAAUAUUUAAUCAGUAAUACAAAAUCAACUUCAUGCUUGCGAUUUUGAAAUAUUAAUUCAUUUUCACAAUAUUAUUCCUAAGAAAAUAUAUUGCAUAUUAAAAUCAUAUUUUGAUUAUUUUCAACAUGUGAUCUAUCAAUAAUACUAUAUGCUAAAACUUUUUUAAUUUUUUUAAUUUUUAGGUUUGCAAAGUGUGGAAAGUUCAUCCUUGAUAGGUGAACCAUGCAAAACAAAUAAGGAUUGUGCUCAAUUUUGUGGUAGUGUGACACCCCUUUGCUAUAAUGGUCACUGCAUUUGUACUAAAACUAAUAGCAAUAAUCAGGCUGGAACUAUUAGAAAAUUUUUACAACAUAAUUAAUUAGGAGUCUAUGAUUAUACACAAAAAUUAUUGUACUAUUUUAAAAAAUUCAUAUGUUAUAAGAAAUAAUAAAGAUUUCCAAUAGUGUGAGAAUUUAAUUUGUCUAUUUUUUCUGUUUUGGAUUUAACUUUUUAUAUCAUGUUCAUCAAGUUAUGAUACUUUUGACUUUCAAAUAUUAUAAAUGAUACUUUAAUAUAUUAACUCGAGAAAAAAGGAAAAAGAUUAUUGAAUUUGUAACACUAACUUUAAAAUUAAAGUGAAAGGACAAAGUUUGGGUAUCAUUUUUUAAAAUAUUAAAGUGAAAGGACACUUGUUUUUCAUCAUUUUUUUUUUUUUUUGAGUUUUUUCUUAAAUAAAAGUAAAACUUGGGGUCAAGGAAUUAUAAUGUUGAAAUUGAACCCUCAUCCAAUAAAAUAAAAGUUCCUAAUAUCUAUUUACCUUUCAAAUUUGGACGAAGAAUUUAAUAAUAAAUUUAUUGACCAUUUUACUCUGAAAUAAAAGAAUAAAAAAAACUUUGAUUUGGACAUGAGACAUAACACUUUUUGAAUCUCUUAUUUGACACCAAAGUUACACAAGUUUCACUAUAUAAUUUUUUGACGGAUAAGAUUCAACUAAAUCCCUUCCACUACAUCAAAUUUUAUGUCUUACCUCAAUUUAAGGUGAGUGUGUACGAUCGAUAUUGAUAUUCUUAACUUGUCAUUAACUCAAGAAAAAAUGAAAAAAAUUAUUGAAUUUGUAACACUAACUUUAAAAUUAAAGUGAAGGAACAAGAUUUGGAUUUGACCUCCUCUAUUCAUUAAACACUUGUUUUUUAUCAAACUUUUUGAGUGAAAAAUAGGGGAAGGGAUUACAAAUCGAAUUCUCAUUUAACAAGGUAAACAAUCUUAAUUUCUAUGUACCUUCAAAUUUCUUACAAAGAAUUUAAUUAAUGGUAAAUUUAUUGACCAUCUUAAACCUAUUAAAACCCUAAAAUAAAAAAAAAAUUAAUUUGGGCAGGAGACAUAACACACUUUUUUAAACCAAAGUUACAAUCUCCCCUCAAUAAGUUUUAAUGGACGAGAUUCAACUAAACCCAUUCGUUACAUGUAUUUUGAAGCUCCGACAAAAUUUGGAUCGCACAUUGCAGGGCUCAUUCGAGAGAUAACUCUCCCAACAUAAUAUUUUUCAUACCCAAAACUCGAAUCUAAGACCUCAAUAUUUUUUAUAAAUACUCACUAUUUAUUCACCCUGUAUGUACAAUAGGAGAGUCUGGCCCCAAUAAUUGUUAGCUAGGGGUACUAGCACAACUUACAUCAAAUGGUUCUUUGGCCAAUUUAAGGUUACAACUCUCUUUGGGCAACUUCUAUGAAUAACAAGUUGAUUUCCCAUAUGGUCCUUUUCGCCAAGUUGAUUUCACAUACGAUCAUUCAAGUCACAUCUUAAUAAAAUAAAUUAGAAUUUUAAAAAAAAAAAAGUGACGUUCUGAGAUAAUAACUAUUAAUUGAGUAAUCAUAUAAAAAAUCAACCCCCGUUUCACCAUAAUAAAUGUCAUAUGCCUUCAAUUAGGCUAAUAAUAUGUAUAAAUUGUAGGUAUUAUGUUAGCCUAGACAAAUCAAACUAUGUAAUAUAUAGUACUAUUUAUAAUUUGGUAUACAUAUAGUUUUUUCAAAUAACACUUUCCAUUACAUUUCUAAUAUAGGAACCUUUUUCAAGUGUUCUAACAAGUGAGAUUAUCCCCAGUAUCUACACCAAGUUGGUGGCAAUACUGAACAUAAUGUUGAACCCUUCUAGCAACAGGCUGAGGAAGGGCACCAUCACACUCAAGAGGACCAUUAAUAGCUCGAAUCGUAGCCCCGAAACCUUGGCCAGAAGUUAAGAGAGGAUGGCAAGUGUUCAUCCAGUACCAUAAGGCAGUUUUGAAUGAUAUUAAACUAUCUCUAGACACAAUAUCGGGGUCGUUAAGGCCAUCGAAUCCAAUGUCUUUUCCAGCCGGACCAUAGUUGAAGUUCCAUGAUAGUUGGAUUGGUCCUCUACCAUAAUAAUUUUGCCCAGAGACACAAGGGUACUCUGACUUUCUCAUGUCACAAUAGUCCCUAGAUGAACCAUUUAUCUCAUUUAUGUAACACAUUUCUGCAUAAUGUCAAAAAAUAAAUAAACUAUAGUGUUAGGUGUGGAAAUGUUGCUAGAAGCGCGGGCACAUGUAACAGGUUAGGUCGAACUCAGUAGCUUUUGCUCAAAUAACGUUAUAUAAAAUGAAACAUAUAAUAAGAUGGCUUAUAAUUGACAAGACAUAUCACAUGAAGAAUCCAAGAAAAUAAUAUUUUUUUAAAAAACAAAGAUAGAUACUAAAAUUAAGCAUAUGAUAAAAUUUUAAGAAAAAUGACUUACGUCCAGUCUCAUGUGUGACAUGAGCAAAGAAAGCAGCAAUUUCACGCUUAUUAUCAUCAUCAGAAAAAUCAGUCGUUGCGAAUUCAGGAUAAGACUUUAAAGCUUCAAGAAACACAGAUCUUGCGUAAAAUCCUUUGCCUUCACAAUUUGAAGAAGUUUGAUUUGCAAUUCCAUUGAAAAAAGAUUCACUAACAAUAUCAGAAACUCUAUUGUUAUUAUUAUUAUUAUUAUGAUUGUAAUUUUUUGUCGAAGAAGUAUAACAAGGCCCUCCUUGACAACCUUGUCCACAAUAAGCUUUUCCGCUGCCACAAUAACCCCAUCUACUGCAACACAAUCCUUCUGUACAUCCACAAUAUUGUGUUGACGCUAAUUUUGGAAUUACAACUAUAGCUACAGUACAUAUUAAUAACAAAAUCAACAAAUUUCUUGAAGAAAAAAUAAUCAUUUUUUUUUAAAUUUGGAGAGGAUAAAAGAAACUUGUUGUUUGAUGGUACUAAAUGAUAUAAUAAGUAUUUAUAGAAGAAAAAAAAGUUGAAUUAUUGUUUAAGAUUCAGCAAUUUUAGUGUUGGAGGAUUUUAGGUAUAGGUACGUUUCAUUUUUUUAUUAUUUUGGGUGUUGUAAUAAAUUAGGAAGGAUAUGGUUAUGUCAUAACUCAUAAGGUCCUAGCUUAUUAAUUAAAAAGAUCACUUGAUCACAAGAAAUCCUUGAAGCUUUUGAUAAUUGCAAAGACUUUGAAGUUUUUAAGAGUUUGUGAAAUUAUGAGAAGAGUCAAACUCGAGACUUUUGAUUAAUGAUAAAGGAAUAUUUACUACAUAAUAAAAAAUUAUCUUUAGUGACAAUUAAUUAAUGGAUAAUUUAAUAACUGUUAAAUAUGUAUUUUCGCCGCAAUUAGCUAGAACUUUUUGCAAAUGCCCCUAAAGCCUUUAGCGACAUUGGAUUCAAUGACAAAUAACUAAUGUCAAUCGUAAAGGUUUUAAACACUCUUUAUUAAUAUGUAUAUUUAUUGCUGCUAAAAACUACGUAAUCCUUAUUGAUAAAAUAAGAAAUGUUGACUAUAUUACAAUUGAUGAAAAUGAUCUAUAAUGUAAAAACACUAGUCACUAAGCUUGGAACUAAAGCAAUUGAAUUUAGCCUGGGCAGGCAAUUAUUUCAUAGGUAAAUUCUGAUUGUUCUCUUUUGAAGCUAAGUUAAUUUCAAUGAUUCCAUGUUAUGCCAUUAACAAAGUGCUUUUUUUUUUUAUUUCUCCAAAUGUCUUCCAACUUUCACAUGAUUAAAGUCCUGACUGAUACUCAAAACUUAAAUUCAAUUUUUUUAUUAAUAAUGGAUGAAAUAUAUUCUAUUUGUUUCAUCACAAUCCUCGUUGGUAUUAGCAAGGUGUCUUGAUAUAUUGUGAAGACUUGUAGAGGGACUACUUUAAUAAAAGUAAAUAUUAGUGGGCUUUACUGAACUUCCACGCAACGAUCAUAGAAUUUGCCUCAAAUCAUUUAAAGCAAUAGCAUUAUCCUUCUCUUUCUUUCAACUUUUCUGGUCAAAACAUCCAGAUAUUGUUUCUUUUCUUGUCAUUUUAAUUUUAACUUGUUUUAAAGAAAAUUGUUAUUUUCUAUAUUUAUAUUUAGUAGCUCUUUAGACCUUAGUCCUAAUAUUUGGAGGUGACAAAAUUAGCUUAUGAAAUCAUAAAUCGCAUAUGAAAUUAACUUAUAUUUUCAUUUAUUAGCUCAAUUCAUUUCAAUACAUCAAAAUUUAUUGAUAUCUAGCAUAAAUUGAUUUAAAGAAAAAUAAUAAUUUUAUUAGGUUCUAAAAACAAAUUAAAAUUAUAAAUUAAGCAAUUAAAACUUAGUUAUUAUGUAUGUUGAAUCAUGAUCCGCUUUUUAACUCAUUCAAUCCAAGUAACUAUUGGCCCGUCUAUUUAUUAAUUCAGACCAUUUUGAAUUACACAAAUCUAGUUUAACUCGCUCAUUUUACACCUAUACCAACAUGCCACAUACAUAUUUAAAAUCAUAAGACUAAGGAUAUUUUGACUCAUGGAACACAUCUUUAAUAUAAAAUCAAAAGAUUCAAAAGUCUUCUUUGCUUCUUAAUUAUACUUCGGUAGUUUAAUUCAACUCGGAGACAAAAAGUUAAAUACACUAAUAAAUAGUGAGAUGAUCAAAAACCCACCUAAAAUAUUUCAUUUUUUAAAGUUUUAUACCCAAACUUUCAAGUGUUUAAAUUUCCUACUUAAAUCAUCACCAAUUAUCGAAACACACCUCAACUAUCAAUUGUUCACUUUUCCUAGUUAAAAUACCAACCAGACCUCAUGACUGAUCUCCUAAUUCAUACAUGCAAAGGGCUAUGCAACUGGCAUCCACUAAAAUUAAAUGAAAACACACCAAACAAUGUGCCUAUUUCAUGACAAAAUUUCUUCAAAUGUUCCAUAACCCAACAAGCUCUUUAGAAAGUUUGACUAAUUUAGAUGUGAAUAAUCAAAUUGAGUAAAAACACCUCCUUUCUUCAUUCUAUGCAGUUGGAGUUGUAAUGCAGUUUCAGACUUGUCGCCCCAAACGGACGGGGUUCAAAUCCUACAACUCUAUCCUAGAAACAAAAUGGGGGAAAUGAACCAAAGGACUAAAGUUCAUGUAGAGGCUUUAGCAGCAGCAGAUUUCUUUUUCGAAAUAUCCAUCUUUUUGUCAGAAUCAGUAGCCUUCCUCUUGUCCUUCCUCUCCCUCUUCUUUAGUGCAGUCAACCGGGCCUUCAGCAAAAUUGCAUAAGAUGCUUGGAAACGCUGGUGAUCUUUUGCACCAACCUGUUAGUCCAAUGAAAUCAAGUGCAUCAUUAGCCACAAGAAGUGAAAUGAUGCAUCAAAACAUAAAAUAAUAAUCAUAUAAACUACUAAAGCAACAAGCAAGACAUAAAUGCAAAUAAGAUGACACCGCCCAUAAGGUGCCUGUUUUAUAGAUGAUUGGUUUUCCUUUCGUGGAGAACAAUAUUUUGGUUUACAUUCUCUUUUUUUUUUUUUGGUAUAUGGCUUGUAUUGUGGGAUUUCUCCAAUCAUUAAUGAAAAUAAUUACCUUAUCAAAAAGAGCAACAAGCAAGACAUGAAUACAAAUAAGAUGAAGAAAAUAAAGACAACUAAGGUAAAGAAAAUUCAAGUUGGUGUUCUUGUCUCCAUUAUAGGAUGAGGAGAGGCAUUCAAGAAGGAAAACGAGGGAGGGCUAGCUAGCAGACAUACCAGAAAAAGUUCUAUACUAAAGGGAUGUUCACAUUCUUAGACACAUGACGGGAUGUAUCAGCCCAAACUUCAUGCCAUGUGUACCAAGUGAAAAAUCUUGUCACUUUCUAAAUUUCAAGAAGUAACAAAUCAAACAGUAUUUGCAUGUGCAGGUGAGCGAAAUUCAGAAAAGAAGUGUGCAACUUGCAAAUGCUGAAAGGGCUAGCUAGCAGACAUACCAGACAAAGUUCUACAUUUAAGGGACAUUUCACAUUCUUAGACACAUGACGGGAUGUUUCAGCCCAAACUUCAUGCAAUGUGUACCAUGUGCAAAAUCUUGUCAAUUUCUCAAUUUCAAGAAUAACAAAUCAAAGAGUAUUUGCAUGUGCAGGCGAGCGAAAUUCAGAACAAACGUGUGCAACUCGCAAAUGCUGAAAGGGAUAGCUAACAGAUAUACCAGACAAAGUUCUAUAUUAAAGGGGCGUUCACAUUCUUACACACGUGACAGGCUAAAAAACUUCAUGUCAUGUGUACCAUGUGGAAAACCUUCUCAAUUUCUCGAUUUCAAGAAGGAACAAAUCAAAGAAUAUUUGAAUGUGCAGGUAAGCAAAAUUCAGAACAAAAGUGUGCAACUCGCAAAUGCUGAAAGGGCUAACCAACAGACAUACCAGACAAAGUUCUAUAUUAAAGGGAGGUUCACAUUCUUAAAGACACGUGAUGGGCUGUUUCAGCCCAAACUUCAUGCCAUGUGUACCAUGUAGAAAACCUUGUCAAUUUCUCAAUUUCAAGAAGUAACAAAUCAAAGGAGUAUUUGCAUGUGCAGGUGAGCAAAAUUCAGAACAAAAAGUGUGCAACUCGCAAAUGCUGAAAGGGCUAGCUAGCAGACAUACCAAACAAAGUUCUAUAUUAAAGGGACGUUCACAUUUUUAGACACAUGACGGGCAGUUUCAGCCCAAACUUCAUGCCAUGUGUACCAUGUGGAAAACCUUGUCAAUUUCUCAAUUUCAAGAAGUAGCAAAUCAAAGAGUAUUUGCAUGUGCAAGGUGAGAAAAAUUCAGAACAAAAGUGUGCAAGUGCAACUAGCAAAUGCUUUCAGCGCUACAAAUAUACUUUAUGAUGAGUUGAAAGUGCCACAUGAAAUUUACAGCAGGAACACCUAAUCAGUACCUUCUAGAGAGAUAAAAAUACAACUGGCUCAUCAAGGACAAACCUAAACAAACCCAACAUGUGCACUGAAGAGACGAACUAAACUACAACUUCCAUGCUAUUUUUAGCCGUAAAGGCUUGACACACUUGACAAUGUUUAUAUUUUGGGAAGUUGAUGAUCUUAACCAUGUCUUUUUAGAAUGGUUAAGUUGUAUUCUUCAGCAUUAAGGACAUGUUGGCAACCUCCAAAAAGUUAUAGGAUCCAAACAAACAAGCAGAAGGAAAUUACAGUAAUUACAAAGAUCCUAAAAAGUCUACUAACUGUUCUGCUAUUUCUAGACCCUUUAUUUACACCAAAAAUACAAAAUAUUCAUACAAUUUUCUUUGAUUUUCUAGAUUGGGUUAGAGAUAUCAUCAAAGCAUCUGUUGUUUCUUCUCUCUAUACUGACCACUAUAUGCAAUAUGGUAUUAUCUUCCACUAUUUCUUCUGAUUCUUGUUCCCUCCCUCCACUCCUCAUGCAUCAGCUAUGUAGGUCAGCAAUGUGUUCAGGCCUUACCCAAUUUGCUUGAGAUAUACUUGGAAACACAGACCAGAUCUGUGAUACAAUAUUCCAACGAAGAAACAGAUGAUUAUUAGUUUCCUCAUUCUCCUUGCCAAAAAAACAUCUGGAUACUAUUUGAAAGUCCCUCCUAUCCAAUUUUUCAUCAGUGAGACAUCCUCUUCUGCUCACCAACCAAGUGAAACAUUUCACCUUGUUUGGGACACUGCACUUCCAAAUCUGUUUCCAAGGACCUUGUAUGCCCCUUCCCCCCUGGUUUCUCCACCACUUCAUUUCUCUAGAGUCUUCUUACUGAGAACUAGUCAUCACUAUCAUGCUUCCACCUCAUUGUGUCUGAUCCUGUAGAUAAACCUAAGAAACCACUAAGCACUUGUAGUAACUCAACAAAUCUACCCACUUCUCGAUCAUUCAAGUGCCUUCUGAAUGUGAGAUUCCACCCUUGAGGGGACCGAGUGUCAACUAUUGAUGCUUCAGAGUUGCUACAGAAUGAGAACAGUUCCGGAAAUGAGCUCAUCAAAGGCUCAUGUCCAAUCCAUUUAUCUCACUGAAAAAGGAUCUAGGUGUCAUUCCCCACACUACAGUCUAUAUUCCCAGCCAACAUAGACCAUAAGUUCCAAAUUGUCCUCCACACGGACACCCAUAGGUGCCAGAUACUAUAUUAGAACACCAAUAGUCACUCUGCCCAUAUCUGUUUAUAAUUACUUCCUUCCAGAGUGCAAGAUCCUCACCAACAAACCUCCAUUUUGUCGAUAAGCAUCUGUUCUGAAGCCCCAGAUUACUAAUACCAAGUCAACCAUAUUAGCUGAGCAGUUUGCCAUUUCACUACGUGAAUACCUCUGCCCUCCUUAUUACCCAACCAUAGAAACUCCCCAACUUGUCUAGUCUAUCCUCCACCUGAAGGCAUUGGAAAUAAGGGCAUGACAUAUGUUGGCAAUGAAUCCAAUAUUGAGUUGAUAAGAGUACUACUUCCUCCAAGAGAUAAACACUGGGCUUUCCAAUUGGCUAGUUUUUUCAAGUGUUAGCAAAGGCGAAAAGCGCAAAAAAGCUCUAAGGUCCAUUGGGGCUUUAAGCGCAAAUAAAGCGUGGGCUUUAAUGAAAAAAGGCACAAAGGGAGAAAAAAAUACAAAUAUAUAUGCUUAGUCCAAGACUAAUAAUUAUAAUCAUGAAUAACAAACAUACUACCAAAGAAAUUGAAAAAAAAUUAUGAUAAAGUGAAAUAUCAAUUGUUUAGUGUCACCUCUUCGGCAGAAGCUCAUUGGCAAGGAAAAAUAUGUCUUAGAACACUGGUGACAAACACUGAAGACAUAAAGCGAGGCGAAGCUCUCAACACCAUUUGAGCCUCGUUGCUAGUUUUUUCAACAAUCUCAUCCCAAAAUUUCUAGCUCCUUAUGAUUGUUUCCAAAGGGCAGCCCCAAGUAAGUUGUUGGGAAUUUCUCAAUUUUACAACUCAAGAUAUUGGACUGAUGACUUAUAUGCGUCCAACACAAGUCAAUGGACUAGGUCCCUUGACAUAGUAAGAACAAUGCACAAAUAAAAAACUUAAAAUAAUGAAAACAUAAUGUUUACGUGUAAACCCCCUUGCUUAAGAGAGGAGAAAGCCACAACCCGUCUUGCAGGAUUUCGCCAAUUCUAUUACUUCAAAGAGUUAAGAUUCAGAUUGCAAACUCUUGCAACCUAGGAAUUAAACACUUAAUCCCUUCCCCCUUUGUAACAGCCCUGUUACUCAGAAACAAAGUAAUACCUCUAUUGCCUACUACACCAACAAGCUUAGUUAAUGUAGACUUCAAGAACACGACAUAGCUAACUCUAGCUACAACUUAAACUUUAACAACGAUUACAACCGAAAUGAUCUGAUUCCUUUAUAACAUAUGAAUAGAUCUUACACUGUAUAAACGCGAGACAAUAAACUCAUAUAACAACUAAAGAGAACAGUAGAUCACUCGAUCAGGUCUCUUGCUGCAUAUGAGAGUAUUUCUUUGAGAGUGGAUUUUGCCGUGUGGAAUUCUUCAAUUCAAAAACUAGGUAACGUCCCUUGACAAGAUGACUAUUAUAAGAUGGACAAACUACCUAGUGCAACGCCAUUGGCUGAGAGUACUAUUCCUCUGAAGAGGCGCACCAACCAUUGCAGUUGUGGCAGCAGUUGCAGCUUUACAACUGUCCUUUUCACAUUGCCUGAAACUCCCAGUCUCUCAUGGGAUCAGGUCCCCUACUAGAUGUCAUAGUUUGUUAAAUCAUCAAAACUUCACAAUACAACAUGGACAGACUUUGAAUUUGUGGAACUUCUUUAUCAGGGAAAGUACUACUUUUCCUCCAAUUUUACAGAUGGGACCAAAAAUUGCCUCAAAGAUCACCAAAAUCAUUCUGAUGUACAUGAUCUGAUCUGCUUUAGCAUCUCAGAAAACAACGAUAUCAUCAGCAAUAAUGAAAGGUAAAUCUACAUCUCUUCCCCUGCUUGAUUGCCUAUCCUGAAACCUUUUAUCCAACUGUUCUGAAUAGUUCCCCUCAUCAUACUACUGAAACCUUCCAUAGCUAAUAUGAAAAGGAAAAGAGAGGGGGAUCUCCUGGAGUCCUCUCUCUCUCAAGGAAAAUUCCAGCAAAUUCUCCUAUGACUAGAAUUCAGAACCUGACAGUUUUGAUACAAAAACCAUCCACUUUAACCAUCUUCCACCAAAACCCAUUUUUUUAAGAAGGUUGAGGAGUAACUCCCAGUUGACAUGAUCAUAAUGGGCUAUCUAUAGCUAGGUUUCACAUGAUCCCUGGAUCUUCACCUUUGAGUCUAGAAUCCACACAGUCACUGACUAAAAGAGUUGCAUCCAUAAUUUGUUUGCCUUUUAUGAAAAAUGGUCCCUUUAGGUGCCCUAAUAUUGUAUUACAAGCAAAUACGUUAACUAUUAGUUAUCAAUCAAGUAAAAAAGGACCACAACUAUCAUUCUCUAUGCACCACAAGGCUACCAUCCUUUUUUAGAAUUUGAUGCUCUCAAUCUCAAAGAUACAGGCCAGGACCUAGAGUCUAUCUAUAUUUGCACGUUUAAACUUAUGCUAAAAAAUAAUUCAUACAACAAACUACCACUCUCAAUGUUCCACAGAACAUACUGCCCAACAAAGCAAAAAAGGGGAAAACGGCAAAACUUGCAAAAAGAAGGCGCAGCCACAAUUCAACCAACAAGACUAAGCAAUGAAAAAAAUAAGAAACUUUCUACUGUGAUUACCAUUGUGGAAAUAUUCUUUUUCCCAUCAGUUGCUCGGAUGAGGCACUUAAAUUCAAGAUUUUCACCAGCUGUCUUCAUCUUAUUCCGUUGGGCUUUAGAUUUAUCAGAAGCUGUGGAUACAAAGGACAAGAAUUCUCAAUCAGUAUUUCAAUCUACAGCUCAUAAAGAGAUUACAAAGCACAAAAUACUGGAAAACCAAUGAAGAGGCAAACUCACAGUGUUUGAGCGUAACCCAAACGGAACCAUGUUCAGUAGUUCGCUCAAACAUACUCGUCAGUUCAUUGAGGAAUGGGUCUGGCUGUAAUCGCACCUGAAAAAUCCAAUUCAGAUUAAUAAUUGUCAACUUAUGUUCUACCAAAAAGAUGGAUAAAGCCGCUCCUUUCAAACUUCCUAAAAUAAGCAAAAUGCCAUAUAAUUUUGUAUCCACAAAUAGGAAGGACAUUGAGCUCCACCGUGUGAUUAUUUGACAUAACCAAUGUGAGUUCGCAUUGUCAGUCACACCCGAAUAAAGGAGGAAGGGAAUAUCAAUAUGUAGAGUUAAGACAAUUCAUGUAAUUAUGCUUAUUUCUACUCUGGCUAUCAAUCCAUAUAAUUCUUCCGAAGUAAAAACAUCAGAUUCAACAAAUUCUCUAACCCUACACAUGAAAUUCAUUGCUAAAUACUCUCUUAGGCACGCAUUACAUGGGAAAGGGUUCCAUCACCCCCAACUAGUUAAUUCAAUCGAUAAGCACCAUUUAAACUGGUAUCAACUAAUUUCCACAAUUCAAUAUACUGGGAUUCGGGAUACAAUACAUAAACAUUCAAGAAUGCAAAGAAUCUAACAUGAAUUUUAUAAUCUACAGAAAUCCAUAAUCUGAAAAAGAAAAUAUAGCAAAUUGGGAUCAAAUAAAGCUCUAAACGGCGUAAACAAGAGAAAUUAACAUCAGAAAAUUCUUUAUACAAUACAUUGUUUGAUUUCCAGAUUUGAUUCGAAAGAUCAAUUGAUUUUGAUGAGUUGAAGUUAGGGCUUACCAUCUUUGAAGCCAAAACUCAAAACAGCAGCAAAACCCAAAAGCCAAGACUCGAACACAGCGAUGAAGAGGAAGCGAUGGGUUUAUAUGGGUCAAAGAAACGUCAAGGGGAAAAUAUGAAUAAAAGUGUGUAUUAUUAUUUAAUGCUCAAAAAUAUCAUUUUUCCAAAUAAAUUUUUUUUUUCUCCAAAUAAAUUCAUAUUUCUUUUCUCUCUAAAUAUAUUCUUUUCCUAAGGAUGAUUUUUUUUAAUUUGUAAAUGUUUAUCUUACUUCAAUUCGAGAAAAAAAAUGAAGAAACAAAAUAUUUUAUAUUUUAUUAAAAUCUUUAUUGUUAUCUAAAUGAAAGAUUAAUGAUGAGAUUAUUGUAUCUUUUUAAAAAAAAUGGUCAUGUAUCAUUAGUUAAAAAGGUACCUGAGGUUUUUCUAUUUUAAUUAAAAUUAGAUUAAGAAGAAAAACAUAUUAUUUCCUACUUGUUUGUUGGUUAUCGUGAUUUUAAAAUAAAAGAAAUAAGAGUAGAUUUCUUUAAAAGUAAUAUUUGUAUUAGGAACAAAAUAUGUUCAUAUAUAUAUUAAGUAGUAGUAAGUACCAUAUUUAUUAGCGAAAAGAGAUAUUUCUUACUCUUUAAAUAACAACAUGGAUUGGACCUACUAUCAACUAAUGACAUUUUUAUUCGACUUCAUUUUUAUUUAUCGAUAGUCAAAUUAUGUAUACUUUGACCAAUAUUUUAACAUGUCUUCUUUUGAAUCAUAUUAAUCUAUAUUAAUUCUACAAUAUAUGAAAUAGUUAUUUACUAUUUUUCUCAAAUUAUUGUUUAAUUAUAUUUAUAAUAUUGACUAGACUCUUUGUGUACAUUGAAAAAGGUAGGAAAAUUAAUGUAAACUUGUAUAUUAUAAUAAAAUGAUAAACUAUAUGAAAAGGAGAAUUAAUGUCGACAGAUUCUUUUUUAUUUCCUUUCCCUAAUAUUCUCAAUGUCCUGGUUAGAAAUAUGGGGGAAAUUUUCAUACAUAUGGGUGUAUUUGGUACAAGUAAAAUAGUUUUCAAUUUUUUUUUAUGUUUGAUUGAUCAAAAUGUCAGUAAAACAUCAAUCUAGAAAAAUAAACUCCUUAAAAAUGAGGAAAAUGACUUUCUAAUAAAAAUAGGGAAAACAAGUUGCAUAAAUGACGUUUCAAGUUUAUUGUCUCCUCCUCUCCCAACUCUCACCCCUUACUAUCCAACCCCACCAUCCACAUUCCCCAUCCUUACCUGCCUUCAGAACGUUUUGUUAGAUAACAUAUAAAUGCUUUUGGGAUAACAUUUUCUUGCUUACUUACCAAACACUAAAAAAUAAUACUUUCGAAGAAAAUAUUUUCUAAGAAUUAACCAAACACACUAUAUAGUACUUGAAAACUUUUUCUAUUUGUCGUUUAAGUUCAUAUAGCACAAAGUUCAAUUAUAGAAUCUGUUAGAUAACAAUGAAGAAAGUAACGCCUAUAUUGGAAAGAACAAUUCUUUCCUAACUUCGUAAGCUCGUUCGCUUCUUUGAUCAUGGAGUGUGCAACCAAGAUAUUAACAACCUGUUGCAUCGUAUUACUAUAAAUAUUUUGUUUCAAAUCAAUACACUUCUUGCACAAAUCAUAAGCAAAAUCAGGAUCAUCCUUCUUACGAGCCAGAGGUUUGAGGUUCAAAUCUCCUUCGUCUUUGUUAGGUAGCUCUUUACUCCUCAAAUGUGGACUCUAUGCCACAAAUUUGAUUUAGUCCAGCUCCAAUAUGGGUACCAGACACCGGGUAGGAAAUAAAAAAAAAGUAGGGUUGGACAUUAAAUACAAAAAUCAAAAUAUUGAAUCGAACCAAAAAUUUUGAAAAUUUGGUAUUCGGUACUCGGGAGUAAGAUUUUAGAAUUAUGGUAUUUAGAUUUGAAUUUGGUAUGAGACAUUAGUACCAUUUGGUAUUCGGUAUUUCCCGAAUACCAAUUAUUUACUUAAUAAAGGUCAUAUAUCAACAGACUCAUUAUUCAUUAGUACAAGACCAUAGAAAAAAUUAAAGACUAAACAUAAACAACUCAAAUACAUAUGUAUUUUAGUUGUCACUUUUUUUAUUUUUUUUUAUUUUAUGUUUUCUUACUUGUUGAUCUUCUAUUAUAUCGUGCCUUCACAUAGAAAAAUAUAGAAAUAAUUGGAGCAACAGUAUUAACUUUGUAGUAUAAUCGCCUAAAACUUUAAUACAGUAUUACCAAACACCAUAUCGGGUCGAAGUUUGAUUUAUCGAUUACCAAACCAAAAUUUAAAAGGUCGAUAUUUGGUGUCUAUUUUUAACUACCAAAUACUGAAUUAUCCCGAAUCAAAUAUUGAAAGCCUACCCCUAGUAUUAAGUCUUAUAAAAUGGUUUGGAGAAUAACAAUUAAUACCAAGUAUAAAACAUAAAAAAAUAAGUACAUCUUUUCUUAAUAUGUUACAAAUAACAAGUAAAAGUGAAAAUUUAUUUUUUAGAAUAAUAGACAAGUAAAAUGAAUAAUGGAGUACUAUUUUAAGAAAAUAACCUCUUAAAAAUGGAGGAAUUUAAUUUAAGUCAUUAAUUUGAGACAUUUAAAAAGAAAAGAAUAUUGCAAUUAUUUUUGGGGGCUCACCUUAAAUAUCUAAGUCCUGAGGAGCUCAUUUGAGUACUCCUCUUCCUCUUUUUUUUGGUACAUAAUUUAAUUCUUUUUAAUUUCUAUGCAAAAUAAGAUACAGGAAAAAAAAAGAAGAAGAAGAAAGAUGAAUGUGUUGGGAAUUUUGAAAAUAAGAGUUCGUAGAGGGAUUAAUCUUGCUAUUAGGGAUUCUUUUUGUAGUGAUCCCUAUGUUGUCAUCACCAUGGGUGGUCAGGUUCGUUAUUUAUCGUCCUUGAAGAGUUUACGUUUUAUAUAUUAAAAAAUAUAUAUAUUUAUAUUAUCGGAUCAUUUUAAAAAGUUGUUAUAAAUAAUAUUGAUUAAUAACUUGAUAUUAAUGAUGAGAAUAAUUUUUUAUUUACCUUUCACAACAAAAAUCAUAUCCUUUUUAGAAAACUGUUCACGUGAUUGACUAUCUAGACUUUUACGUUAUUGAUGAGAAUUUAUUUUCUAUGAAUUUUAUAGAAAUCAAAGACUCGAGUUAUCAAAGAGAACUGCAAUCCUGUGUGGAAUGAGGAAUUGAGCCUUGCACUCUAUGAUCCCAACCUUCCUAUUACCUUAGUAAGUCUCAAAUUUUGUAUAUAUAAUUUGAGAUUUUAUUUCAUUUUAUAAAAUAAGGAUACAAUAUAUUGAACAUUAAACAUUGUUGGAUUGUGUGUUCAAUUCGUCCAAAAGUUUAAUUGUUAAAAAAAGAGAAGUACAUAUCUACCUAUUUAUCACAACAGUUAUUGAUCAAACACAAUUGCUUCUCAUCAAAAGUAAUUUUUUGAAAAAUACUUUCAAAACAAGUUGAUUUUAGAAGUUUGACCAAAUAGACUACAAAUAUCUCUCUGGCCUUAAUUAAACUUGGUUCAAUGAAUAUAUAGCUUAUAUAUAUCACUGCUAGAAAAUGAGAAAUUAGCAAUAGAUAAAAUUUUGUAAUUAAAGAGAAAAAAAUUCAUGCUAAUUUCAUUUAGCUACGGAUUAGCGACAAAUUCUGUAUUUUCUUGUAGUGUAUAUUGGUUGGCUAAUUUUUUUUAAUUUUUUUUUGUAGACAGUGUAUGAUAAAGAUACAUUCACAGCAGAUGACAAAAUGGGAAAUGCAAAUAUAGACAUAAAACCAUAUCUUGAUGCUAUAAACAUGGGAUUAGAAGGUCUCCCAGAUGGUGUGAAAGUAGAUAGGGUUCAACCAAACAGAGAAAAUUGCUUGUCUGAUGAAAGUUGCAUAUUAUGGGAAAAUGGAAAAAUGACACAAAAGAUGCUUCUUAGAUUGCAAAAUGUAGAGUGUGGUGAAAUUGAGAUUCAAAUCGAAUUGAUUAGUGCUCAUGGUAAAAGAGGUCGUCUCUACAUCUGAGAUGCCAUAGAUAUAUAAUCAUUUUUGACAUAUAUUAUCGAUGAAAUUACACUAAAUAUGUGUUAUCGUUGUCAUAUUGUAUUGAAUUGAUGUUGGAGCAUCAUGUAAAAUGGUGAUUGUUGUACUUUGUAAAUUUCAUGCAAGUAUCACAAUACAUGUUGGUUAUUAAUGAAAGACUUGUUUUUUUAGGAGGUGAAGUACUCUUUUUUUUCGUUAAGCUUUUAUAAGUUUGAACAAAAUAAUUUAUUUUAAAAAAGAAAUAAAUCAAUUUUGCAAUAGCUGUAAAUUAUUAACUUUUUGGUGUUUGAUUGAAAAGUGAAGUUUUGGUAAAGAAGUCUUUAAUUAUUUUUUUAAUGAAACUUUUCUGCGAAUAAUUGUCAAUGUCGAAAAUCAAAGUGCUUAAAUAAGAUAAUAAAUGAGGGACCAAACGAUGCACAAUUAAGUGGUGGUGAAAAUUAUAAUUUGUAGGAAUAACAUUUAUCUUUAAGUUUUAUAGCUUUGAAUUAAGGUAAACUUUUAAAAACAGCAAAUAUUAGGCACUCUAUAGCUAUAGUUUGCUUAAUUACAAAUAAUAGCAAAAUGUUAGGGGAGGAGUGAGACGAGCGAGAUCUGGGAGAGAGAGGAGAGAGCGUAUUUUUCCGCGAAUUUUGGAGAAAAAACACAAAUACAAACUGAUUUGUAUCAAAAUGCAUACUCCCUUCGUUUCACAAAGAAUGACCUGAUUUGACUUGGCACGGAGUUUAAGUAAAUAAAGAAGACUUUUGAAUCUUAUGGUCCUAAAUUAAAGUUAUGUCAAAUGUACAAAAUUGCCCUUAAUCUUGUGGUCUUAAACAUGCCACGUGGAAAGCAAAAAGUAAAAUGUUACCAAAAAAGGAAAGAGGUCAUUCUUUUUGAAACUGACUAAAAAGGAAAGGAGGUCAUUCUUUGUGAAACGGAGGGAGUACAUAUUAAGAGGAGAGAGGCGAGUGAAAUCGGGAGAGAGACGAGCGAAAUCGAGAGAGGGAGGAGAGAGACGAGCAAAAUCCAAAAAGAAAGGAGAGAGUUGAGCAAAUUUUGUAUCCUAAAAUUACAUUUACUAAUUAUUAUAAUUUAAAUAUAUUUUUACACAUAAAUUUAUAUUCCAUAUUAUUAUUAUUUUUGAUAACUAUAUUCCAUAUUAUUUAAGAUUAUGAAUUUUGUAUCCUAAAAUUACAUACAUCAUGCUUUUGAUUGUUAUAAAAGUUUAAGUCUGCUAAUUACUUCAAUGAAAUUGAAAUUUGAAUAACAAUAGAAUAAAAAUUAACGAUCAAUGAAAAUAAAAAGAUAAUGAUAUCCUUACUAUUCUUUUUAAAGCACAAGUUCAUAAUGCUAAAAUAUUUUAAUAGAGUUAAUAUAGAGUCCAAAUAUAAACUAAAAAAAUUUCACGCAAUUUGGUAAAGUGAAUAUGGCUUUUUUUUUUUUUUCUAUUUCCCAUCCGGUGUUCGGAGCCCACAUUAGAGCUCUGAUUAAAUUCGGAUCGCGCAUUGCAGGGCUCAUUCAGGGGCGGCGCUCCCAACAAGAUUUUCUCUAUACCCAGGGCUCGAAUCCGAGACCUCUGGUUAAGGGUGAAACACUCCCACGAAUGCACCACAAUCCAUGUUGGUGAAUAUGACUUUUACCAUCAAAUGAUGUAAGGAAGGAAUAAAAGGUCUCAAAGUCGAGUUGUAGAUAUGAAAAAAACCUUAAUAAAAAGUGUUUUCCUCAAAUGAAGUGACAUACAACACAAAUUCUAAUCGGACUUCAAUACCGAUACAGAGACCAUUAUAAAAAAUAAAUAAAAGAAGUCAAACCUUUAAUUUGUCUUUUAUUAAAAAAAUAAAAUAGUUAGGUUUAGAAUAGGGACCUCAAUUUAAGGUUAUAUUUUUGCAAUUUUUAAUUAUACUAAGAGUAUUUGAUAUUUUCAUUUAUCUUUACUUGAAUUUUCAGUCUCUCUUCCAGCCGCCAUUAAAACCAGCACUUGCAAACUCCAAUUUCUCUUCUCCGGCAAUGGCGUCUAUCACCGCAAAUCAUCCAAUUUCCGGUAACCCAUUAAUCUCAUUCCGUCCCAAAAACCCUUUUCUUCAAACCCAAACUCUCUUCAAUUUCAAACCAUCAAACCCCAAACACUCCAAUUCCUCAUUUUCCAUUCCCAUUGUCCGCUGCUCAAUACGCCGUCGACCGGAAUAUACUCCGAAUCACAUUCCCGAUCCAAACUACGUCCGCAUAUUCGACACCACUCUCCGUGAUGGCGAACAAUCACCAGGGGCUACAAUGACUACAAAGGAGAAACUGGAUGUUGCACGUCAGUUAGCUAAGCUUGGUGUCGAUAUAAUUGAGGCUGGUUUUCCUGCUUCUUCUGAAGCUGAUCUUGAGGCUGUAAAAUUGAUAGCUAAGGAAGUUGGGAAUGGUGUUUAUGAAGAGGGACAUGUUCCGGUUAUUUGUGGAUUGGCGAGGUGUAAUAAGAAGGAUAUUGAUAAGGCGUGGGAGGCUGUGAAGUAUGCUAAGAAACCGAGGAUUCAUACGUUUAUUGCUACAAGUGAGAUACAUAUGAAUUAUAAGCUGAAAAUGAGUAGAGUUCAAGUUGUUGAGAAAGCUAGGAGUAUGGUGGCUUAUGCAAGGAGUAUUGGGUGUGAGGAUGUUGAAUUUAGCCCUGAAGAUGCUGGAAGGUUUGGACUUUACACCUACACUUUUGAACCUUCCAAAAUUAUUGACACCAUUUCAUUUCUAUACAUUUUUACAACUUUCAAAAAUGUAAAGUUAUUCAAAAUUUGAACUUUGAUGUGAGAAUUACUUUAGUAGACUAAACUCUUUACCAUCACUUUGCUAUUUUUUCAUUUUCAGUAGUUUAAUAUAAAAUUGAUGAUAUAAUAUUUAAGUUAAUUAGCAUCUAAACUUUUCGUUCCCCUAUCACAUACCAUUAUAUACUUGCUUUGAGCUAUCAUCAUUGCUAGAAUUGUUGAUUCUGGGACUUUUUCUUGUAUGGAGAUAAUUAUUGAGUUUAGGCUAUCCACAAAGUUGCCAAUCGGGGACUAAGGAAUAAAUUGGACUUAUUUCCCUGUUUCUUUUUUGGAUUAGUCAUGCUCGUUAUGGUCAUAUAUGUUGAACAGAUAGUUGUAUGCUUAGAUAGUGUUAGAUAAAUUCAGAUGUUUAUUUUAAAGUGACUCGUAAUUUAGCUGGCGAAUGAUCCUGAAGAAUUCUGAAAAGUUUCUGGAGAAAAUUUCAUCACGAGUCUGUUGACCCCAAACUUGUUUUAUUAAACACACAUGUUUAUGGCAUUCUUUUUAACAAGCGCGUGGGAGACCUUGAAAUUAUUUGACUCUUUUCCCUUUCAACGGAACACUUAAAAGAUAAUAAGACCUUGUGUACUGUAAUAUGCCUUUUCCUAUCAAGGAGUUCUCUGGUAUGAUGCUUUGAGAUCUCAAAGAAGAGGGUUAAGCUACCAAGUUUUAUUCUGUUGCCAUGUAUAAAAGUUUGUAGACUAGCUCAGUGAUUAGAAUCGACAAUGGGAACCACUUUCAUGCAUUGUGCUAACUGGGAUCCGUUCUUUUUGCUGAUCUGAGCCUUGUUUUCCUGUUUAUUUGCACUACCUCCUUGGUACUAGCUUUAAUAAUAUUAAUUUACUUUAUAAAAAAAAAAAACCUUAUUUCCUUUUUUUUCCUUCUCAGAUCUGAUCCAGAGUUUCUUUAUCAUAUCCUUGGAGAGGUUAUCAAAGCUGGGGCAACAACCCUUAACAUCCCUGAUACUGUUGGAUACACUGUACCCGAAGAAUUUGGACAAUUGAUUGCUAAAAUAAAAGCCAAUACCCCAGGAGUUGAAGAUGUGAUCAUUUCAACACACUGCCAGAACGAUCUUGGGCUUUCUACUGCCAACACCUUAGCUGUAUGUGGUUCAAUGUUGAUGAGAACCUAGUUGUUUAUGCCAACUUAAGUUGUAUGCACAUUAAAGCGUGUCCAAUUUCAGGGAGCAUGUGCAGGUGCAAGACAAUUGGAAGUGACCAUCAAUGGAAUUGGUGAAAGAGCUGGAAAUGCUUCUUUAGAGGAGGUGUGUGAGGGCUUUUCACUGAGAAAUUUCAGUUCUCUUAUGUGCAUGAUUUGGGCUCCAAAAUUUGAGGGGUGGAAUCACUAAUUAAACAACCUUGACUAUGAAUUCCCCUCUGUUCUUUCCUUGACAAAAAGUUAGGUCUUCAAAGAAAUUUCCAAUAAUCUCGCAAGGCAUUCUCCGCACAAAAGGAACCAUUCCACCUCUUCCUAGACUAAAUUAACAUCUUGAAUUUAGACUGAUACUAGAGUAGAAAUUUUGUGGUACGUACUAUUAUUCUUUUGCAAAACAAUUGUUGCAAACAUGCAACCAUAUUUUGCCAUUUUGGUCUUUGGAGCCAAUUUCUGCCAUUGGUUGUGUUAUGUGCUGCUAAAACUGACAAACUACUGACGUGUAUGGGACUCCUUUUUCCUCUGUGGUACUUGUUUCUCUUUGGUUUUCAUCUUGGGCAUGUCGGGCCUUAAUUUUCUAACCUUUUACCAUGUCCAAUGCUGGAAUAGGUUGUAAUGGCCUUAAAGUGUCGUGGAGAGCAAGUACUAGGUGGCCUAUAUACAGGGAUUAAUACACAACAUAUACUCAUGUCAAGCAAGAUGGUUUGUACCCUACUAUCUCAUAGUAUGGUGAUCUUUUACUGGUUAAUAUUCUUCCAGUAUGCAUUCUGCUGACCCUUUAUCGUGCAGGUAGAGGAGUACUCGGGACUUCAUGUGCAGCCACACAAGGCCAUUGUUGGAGCUAAUGCCUUUGCUCAUGAAAGUGGCAUCCAUCAGGUUUGUGUAAUUUGCUUUAAUUUAUUGUUGAAAGAAACAAUUCCUGAUAGAGGCAAAUCUUCUUAUUAGUUCAUGGACAUCUUUUCUUUCCAACGAUCAACCAAGUUACUGAUGGAAUGGUGUUCCAAGUUCCCUGAUUUCCUUCCCCAGACCUCAUAAAUUCCAGCUUAACGGCAGCUCUUCUGUAGUCCUGAGAAAGAGGCUCUAGCUCUAUGAGUUGAAGGAGCAAUGAAGAAAUAAAUGGUUGAGUCGUCACUUCGCUUUCAACGAAGGCAAACCAACUACAUAUGUUGAAACUCCUUUUCUGAAUAUUUUCAUGUUUAAGACAAGGUUCUUUUGUCAUCAACCAAGAAAAACAAUCGAUUUUUCAGAGGUUCCCUAUUUUCCCAAAUGCAUUUCCAAGGCCAAUUUUCAAUGACAGCGGGAUUUAUCUCUGAUAACAGGAUUUGACCGUGAAAACUCCUUCAGAAUCAUAUUUUCACUUUAGAGAAUCAGACCGGAGUUGAAGGGUGGGGGGUGGUCCUAUGGUGUCUGAGAAGCAAAGAGCACAGCUAUCCAAUUCCCAAUCAUUAAUAUUGCACUUGAAUCUGAUGUUCCAGCCUUUUUCACUCCUGUAGUCUGACAUAGAUGCUUCAGAAUUUGGCGCCAUCGUGAAUAAUGUUGGGUAUUGGUUUUUUGGAGGUUAUUGCACAAGUCAAAUAUCUGUCCAAGACCUUACUUUCCGCCAUUUUCAAUUACAGUUGAGGUCUUGGAUAGAUAGAGUCCCACCGUGCACUCAUAUGCCUCCAUACACCACAUGAAUUAGGAAAUUAUGGAUGUUUCGUAAUCCAUGGGUUGGAAAGUCCGUAUUUAACCGUAAUAACAUCUCUCCAUAAAGCUCCCUCCUCCCUAUUAAACCUCUAGAGCCAUUUGUGUUGCAAAAAGAUACUAUGAACCCUCAGAAAGUUGUUCCCCAUGCCCCCAGCCUUUUUGUCAGUAGAAACCAUAUCCCUUUUUGAAAGACUUGUUUUGUCUAUUCCUUGUCACAGAAAACCCCUUUACACAAUAUUGAUUAGUACUAGCCUACCUCCUAAUGAGUGAUGUUUUCUCUUUCAGCAUGAUAACUUCCUUUUGCAGUUUUCCUUCCAUCCCAGAUUGUAGUGGCUUUAGACUUUGACCCCAAAGAAAGGCCAAAGGCCUAAUUAUUUAAUGGGAAAAGAGCCUACUUCACAACCCAAGGUGUCAGCUAUUUCUAUAAGUUGAUCAUUUCGUUCACCGGACAAAAAACACUCUUUGUAUAAUUAACUUGAAGACCAUAAUUCGCUUUAAAGAACAAAAGUACCAUACGAAGAUGUAUGAUCUGAUCAUUUCAGUUUUGCAAAAAAAAGAGUGAUCAUCUGCAUAGAAAAGGUAGGUGAGAUGCAGAUUUCCUUGAUUUCUCAGACUUGGGUUAAUGCCCUUUAUCUUGUCAUGUAGUUUUGCUAUUGACAACAUUCUUCUUAGACCUUACAUAACCAAGGUAAAAGGAAAAGAAGAAAGCGAAUUUCCUUGUCUAGAACCUUUUGGUGAAGCAAAAAAUUCUUUAGGUGAUCCAUUUAUGAUAAUGGACGACAUGACAAUGGAGAUGCAAAAGUGGAUCCACUCGAUCUAUUUAUUGCCGGAGCUCAUGGAUUUUAACAUGUUGACAAGGAUAGGGCUAUGUUGCUCGGACUCUUCAAAAAUGUCUACGGGUGCAUGUCGG
rnacentral:lncRNA from 1 species